rnacentral:lncRNA from 1 species
AGGCGUGUAGCUGCAAAAGGAGAAGGAUCGGGAAACGAUUGACGAACGAAACAAACGAGAAGGCGAUGGAAGAUAGGAUCGUGGAAGAAUCAGUAAGAAAAAAAAGAAGAAAUGCGUAAUGGUGAAAAAAUUUGAAGAGUUUGUUGCAGUGAAAGGAAAGUAAAGAAACUAGAUGGAAGAAAGCAUGGCGAUGAAUGAAAUUAGGGUUUGUAAGAAGAAGAAGAAAAGAGCGGUUGGGAGGAAGAAGAAGAAGAUAUUAGAUAUGGGUAACCCGCAAUCGGUUUUUGUUAUAAUGCUCUCUCUCUUUCUUUUUAUUUUUAAUUUUCUUUCCAAGGAGAGGAUGCGGUAAUGGUGAGUUUAUUGCUGUUGUUGUUGGUUGUGUACGUGUGUGAGUGUUGUUGUGUGUGUGAGACUAUGCACCAUGCAAAUGUGGCUUCGUAAUAUCCAAAGGCAUGUAUAAUAUUUUAUUAUCAAAAAUGUUUUUUUUUAUAUCAUGAUUUUAAAACUUUUUAAAUUGUUUUUCUAUCAGUUAUAUCAAUGGCUAUAAAUAGUAAAUUAUAUUUGUUAUAUUGUAUUGCAAAUAAUUAUGGAGUAUUUUUUAUUAAUAAAAUAUAUUUAUUCACUUAAAUUGAAAAUAUAUAUAUAUUUAUAACAAUACAAAUCCAAUAUUUUAAAAGUUAAAAAUAAUAAAUUUACAAAUAGGCUCAUAAAAUUUAAGUUAAUACCAUUAAAUGUGAAGAUGUCAACAAAUUGACAAGAGAUUGGAAGAGAUUGGAUAAUGUCGCACCAAAAUGAAAGAACAACAAAAUGUCAUAUUUAGGUGAUAAAAGCACGAAAGAUGCAAAGAAUUUUUUUUUUUUUUUUUACGUAUAUAAAUGGGUGGUAAAUGAAAGAACAACAAAAUGUCAUAUUUAGGUGAUAAAAGCACGAAAGAUGCAAAGAAUUUUUUUUUUUUUUUUUACGUAUAUAAAUGGGUGGUAAAGUAAUUCUAAUGGAUGAUUUCACAAUUGAAAAAAUAAUUAACAACGCUCCUCUUUAAUACAUGAAGAAAAAAAUAGCAGUUAGAGAGAAUGUGGAACUUCUCUCAAAAUUUAAGGUUGACUUACAAAUAACUACUACGAUCAUAACUAUGGAUUUGAUAUUGAACAAUUGUAAAGGUAUUUUAAGCAUGUCUUCAAUGACAAUGUGUUCUCAUCGAAUGUCUUAGUCAAUUCUUGAUGCAUUUGUUGUAUUAAAUUUGAUCAAAAAGAAUGAUGAUAACAUUGUUAGUGGUAUUUUAGAACAUCAAAGCAAAAUCUUUAAACAAGCUUUAAAAAUAAUUUUUGAUGUGUCAAUUACAUACGUCGUGUUUAAAAUGUGAUGUGAUUAUUGUUACAAUUCUAAAAUCGGAUUAUAUUGUUGAGGUCAAUUGUUCCAUAACUUUCCUACAUGAAAGAUUGAUGUUGGAGAAAAAUGAUAUUUAUCUCAUCUUAGAUGACUUGCAUGACAAAUUAAACAAUGUUUGGAAGGUGUCAGGCAAAUAGUCUUUUAUAAAUAUUGGUAAGGGGUUAUUUAUUUUCACUUUUUUUAUCUAUUGAACAUUUACGUAUAGUUUUUAUUACGAGAGUGUGUAUCCUUACGUCGAAAAUACUUUGUUAUUUUCUUGGAUGUCGGAUUUCAACACAAGCAUAAUACAAAACACUAAUGUUCAAUGUUGAAUUAGGUCUCACAAUUUUCCUUUUGAAUAUUGGAGGUCUACGACUCUAUUUACUAUUUUAUACGGGUAAACAUUCUUCUACCCUUAGAUAAAGCCAUCACUAGCAAAAAGCUCAAGUAUUUUGCUAUAAUGAUGAUGUAUUAACCUUUUGAACUCUUAAAUGACUCUCUUUCGGUAGAAAUUAGAGGUUAUGUUUUUAAUGUUGAUAUAGAAUACAAUACACUCGUAAUGUUUUACAUUUCUUAUCAGACAACUUAUCAUUCUUUGAAAGAUUAUAUAAGACAAAAGUGUGUAGAUGAAUAGUCGACUCGGGAAUAUAUUAGGGGGAAAACUCAUUACUAAACAUAUCCUUAAGAAAGUCAUUUUAUAGUCACCAAGUGAUACUUAACUAGAAUCACAUAGGUUGUGGGUUGAAGUCAUUCAUGGUCAAGAGGUCGUCGUCUUUUGGAUGUGACAUCUCUAUAGUAAAAUCAACCAAGAGUUUGGGAUUUUAUGGGCCCUAUUGGUUCUAAGUCGGUAUAAAAUUUAAAGAGUUCCAUUAACCAUGUAACAAUUUGCUUAGGUAUGAGCCAAAGCCCAACUAACUUUAGUUCAACCCAAUAUUGGACCUCUUAUGAACCAUAUUGACUAAAUGUCUAUGGACCUUCGUAUCUAAGCAUCAAAAGAUACUGAGGUCACUUUUCUCAUUUCGCUUAUCUAUAUAAUGUAUCCACAAUAAGGUCCUAAUACUGUGGAACCUAUGAUGGAUAUGUUAUAUAAGUGCACUUGAUUGGAGCAAAUAGAAUUAAUUUAUCCUCAAACUAUAAUUGGCAGGAUCCCCUGACAUGUGUCCUUUCUUAUAUUUGUCUAAAGUAUAAUGUUAUAGGUUCUUGAAAACCAUAUGACCUCACUAUAAAUAAUGACAAAUGGGUCACAUAAAGGUGCACAUUAUUGUAACAUUAAAUAUCUCUCGCUUCCUAUUGUCAUUGACUUGUCUGUCAGAGUGUUUGCAUGUAUCCCCAGGGUCGAAGCACAAAAAUACAAAACUUCAUGUUAGAGAAUACCAUUGCAUCUUAGUUCACCGCCACAUUUGUAAACCUUGUCGAUUUUCUCAAAAUCACUAUUUUCCCUAAAUAUUCGCCUUCGACGAAAUUUUCUGAAUGAGAAAGUAUUUACUCACAAUAACUAUUUAUGACUAGUCGUAAUGUCUAAAUCUUUGAGCUGAUAAUAUUAAGAAAAAGGUUAGUUACUCGUAUUUUUUGUAUAGUAUAUAUGUUAUUUGUACCAUUUUGCUCAUAAAAUACAAUGGUUAUUGUGUUUUUUCUAUUUCCUUUACACAAGCCAAAUUGGUUAAUAUUUUAUGGAUGUUAAGAAAAAAUUUAACUUAACACAAGUUGUUAGCAUAAUUAUUACUAAGGGUUAUGAAGGAACUUAUUCAAGUCAUCAAAGGCUUGUUCCCAUUGGGAAGUCCAUUUAAAGUGUUCUUGCUUUUAGAGGACUUAUAGAUUUGCAAUGAGUGAUUUGUUGAUUUGGAAAGGAAUCAUGAUAUAAAUAUUAUUUGUUUCGCUAGUUGUCACACUUCUUUGAUGGAUUUCAGACACUAUGUCAAUAGUAUUGCCCUGCAUUUCUUAGUAUUAAAUUUUAUCUACCUUUAGGCGAUCAUGAAUCCUAAUAAAUUGCUUACUUAAACCCAUAAAAUGCACUUUAUAUGUUCAACCUCAUUUUAUACUUUAGAAUGUGUCCAAGUAUGAUUCGCAAGUCCUUAAAGUAAGGCUCAGUACUUAUGGUCCUGAUCAUCGUGUCAUCCAUGUACUUAUGCACACCUUGUUAUUAUUCUUUAUUUGCUUCCCAUAUAUUUUGUUCAUGAGUCUAUAGUAAAUGGCUCGUGCAUUGUUUAACCCAAGGACAACAUGGCAGUCAAAGUUCAGCAUAUCUAUCAUGAAAGUUGUUUUUAUGCAUUUGAUGCAUUCAUCAUGAUUUGGUUGUAGCCUUAAGAGAGAAAGUAGAGGAUCUGACAACUUGAUGUAUUAUCUACCAACAUAUCAUUAUAUAUAUAUAUAUAUAUAUAUAUAUUUGGCAAUAAUAUGGGCCUUUGGAGCAUGCAUUGUUCAGAUCUCUACGCAUUUUCCACUUAUCAUUUUUUAUAGUGUUAUAAUGUUGGCCAACCACGACAAAUAUGUGAUUUCUCAAAUGAAAUUCGCAUUUGCUAACUUUUGAGUUUCCUAUUUGGAUGUAUCUUGAUUCUCGCUUGCCAACAUUAUUUUAUUAUGAACCAUUGUUCAUACGAUAUGGUUGAUGGCUAGAUGGUGGGAUAUCACCUUUACACUAAUACAUGACAUGUCAGUUAUGCUUCAUGCAAAUAGGUUUGAGUUGUUCCUCAAUGUUUGGGGCAGAGUGACUUCCUCUUCAAACAAUAGCCAUGAGUCAAUCUUUGUGAUCUUGUCAUCGACUAUUAUCUUAACCAUUUUCACCUUCUUUUUAGGUUCAUGCUCGUCGUUGUUUUCUUCCUUGAGGUCUAGUUCUAUUAACUUUUCACUAAUCUUCGUAGUUUUUUUUUAUCAGAUAGCUUUUUCAUAUUGAUUGAAGUCACUUUAGUUUUAGUUAGGUUAUUGACGUGGAAAUGUUCAAUCACCUAUAGGUUUUUAUGCAUGGUGGAGAUUUUACCAUAAUUAAGAGAGAACUUCAUCGUAAGAUGUGUCAUUUAUAUGAUGGCUUCAAACAUAUUUAGUCUUUGUUGUUUAAUGGUAAAUUGUAUGAUGAAUUUACCUUCACCAUUAGCAAAGUUGGCUUGUAAUUGCUUUGAUCUGGCGUAUGUUGGAAAUGUCCUCUCGUCCAUAUGAAUCACUUGACUUAUGCAUCAUAUAUCGAUUAUCCCACUUAUAUGUCCUUUUUAGGGUUUGAAUAUUAUUGUAGGUAACUUCAACUGCUUGUACACUUAUCUGAAUAUGAUACCAGUCGAGCUUCCUUAAUUGACCAUACUUCUUUUGAUAUUGCAGUUUGUCAUGAUUAUUAAUGGCUCGUGAUCAUUAUAAAUACAUGAUAUGCUUUUAUAAUGUUUUUUUUUUAAUUUUAGUAUAUUUUGGUUAUGUUGAAGUAAUAAAUUAUAUAAAUUCACAUUGUGGAUUAUAUUAAAAUGGACUCAUUGUUUAUGCUUAAUUCUCUCUAGCUAGAUAAUUUUAUAGUUUUUUUUUAUUAUCAGUUAUUAGCUUGACAAGUUGUUCGGUCACUACAAGUAAUAUCAUGAAGUUAUGGAGAUGUGAAGUCAUAAAUUAUAAAUAAUAAAGUUUUAGGGUAGGUGGGAGAUCUUGUCUCACCCGUGAGAUGGAUGAUCUAUUUGCAUAACGCCUACAUAAAGUUAUUUUUACCAAAUCCUCAUUUCCUGGUCAACAAAGAGCCUAUAGUUUGGCAUGAGGUGGACAAUCAAGUUCUAAUUGGCCCAUGUAUAAAGUCAACUUUGCUCUGAAUAACAAAAUCAUACUUUGAAGACAAAUAACAUGAAAGAAUUAUGUUUUGAAUGCUAAUAGUGGUUAUUCUGGUCCUUGGAAGCAAGCGUGACAAUUUAUACUCAAUCUUUGUAAAUUUAUAACUUAUGCAACUCAUUGUUUAUGAUAGUUAUUGCUAUGAUCAUUGAUAUGAAACUCUUUUUUGUUAUUUGAAGUAUGGUUAUUUGGUUAUUCUUGUGUGCAAUGUUUUUCUUUAUUUGAUCACCAUUGAAUUUAUUUUAAGGAUUAAUUCGCUACUAGAUAUGUGUAUUAUAAUUUGACCUAUAAUUUAUGCUUUUAAUUAGUUUACUUUUAGACAUUUUAAUUUCAAUUGCAAACAAUUCCAUAUGAAAAAAAAACCCUUUAUUUCAUAAGUAUUUAUAUGAUCGAUGAGUAAUCCAAAUUAAUCAUAAUUUUCAUUAAUACAGCUUUAUUUAUUACUUGAUGACACUUUUGGUAUAUUUGUUAAACAAAUCAUCAAGUUUUUGACAUUGUUGUUGAUGGUUGUUGAUUGAUUUGAUCUUGUCUCUCUUUUGUUUAUGUUGCGGUAAUGCUUGGGUGUUUUCUUGAUUUUUAAGCAACAAGGAAACUCAAUUGGACUAUUAUACAAUCCUAAAAUUGAGAAGACUACCAAAGCCAAUUAAAAAAAUACUAAGAUUAGCAAGACAGUAAGCCGGAGAAGAAAGAAGAUCAAUCGUGUCAGAAACUCAUUUAGAUAAAUAAUAAAUACAUAGUGAGAUUGAGAAGAUUCUAUAUUUGUCGAGACGAUCAUUAGAUGGCAAUGGAAUGGGAAAUCAACAAAGAUUUAUCAUUAAUGAGUUUUAACCAAAACACAUAGUAGUGUUCUAUGACACGGGGGAUUUAACUCUCAUUUCCCUAAGAGAAUAUCAAUAUUUAGGAAAGUAAUAUGAAUAUCCAAAUGAGAAUUUUAAUCAAUUAUAUGAAAUUGUAAAACAACUAGUCUACUUAGAGUUUCAAAAGACGAAGAGAAUUUCAAAAAAUGGGAUUUCAUCAAAUUCAAAACAAAGUUGGUUUUAUGCUAACUCAAAUGUUCAACCAAAUAUAAACAUGAAGCAAACAAAAUUCAUAUGAUAAACAUAAAUUUAAAUUAAAAAAAUAAUAGACAAACAAGAUCAUUGGUAAACAUAGUAGUUUAGUUCUUUCUAAUGUCCUAAAAUUAAAAAAACUCUUGAUCAACUUUGAAAUAAAUUUGGUUUUAUGCCAACUCAAAUAUUCAAAAAAAAUAUAAACAUGAAAUAAACAAAACUCAUAAAAUAAACAUAAAUUUAAAUUGAAAAGUAGUGGACAAACAAAAGCAUUGGCAAAUACGAUGAUUUAGUUCUUUCUAAUUAUCAUAUAAUUCAAAAACUCAUGUGGAUUUUCAACGAUGAAUACUAUAACAUCUUCAACUUCUAGCUUGCUAUAUUUGGCGAAUUAAUUAAUACUAUUUGACCCUAUAUACAUACAUAUUUUUUAUAUCCCUAGUAGCGCGAAUGUCGUCAUAAUAUUCACAUUUUCCAUCUUUUUCGAUUUUGGUAAUGAUAUUUGUAAUAUGUGGAGUAAAACAAUCUUAUGCAAUGUUUUUUUUAACAUGCUACCGUAUAAAAAGUAAUAGAAAAAGCUUAAUGAUAAUAAAAAAAAAAUAGGUGAACUUUAAUAUUUAUAGCUAAUACAUGUCAAUACAUUGUUUUUUUUUUAAUUGAUUGUGUGACAUUUAGUACCUCUUAGUAUUUUCUGAAGGAAAAUAGCGAUCCAAAACGUAGCGAAAAUUAAAAUUCUCCUUUAGUGAUCCUUACGAAUGAGCAUGAUCAAUGAUAGAAAUCGUUACCUCUUGUGGCGAUUGAAACCUUCGAUGCAGAUUUAAGGAGUGAUCAUGAGCGUUGAAUGGUGACAACGCCUCUACUCAGUCCACACGAACGAAUUCCUUCAAUCUCAGUGCUAGCUGCUACGAAUGAAGGCUUUGAGAGAGAGAGAGAGAGAGAGAGAGAGAGAGAGAGAGAGAGAGAAAGAAAUAGAGAAAUGAAAUUUCAUCUAAUUAAAUGCUUUUGCACAAGGGUUCUAUUUAUAGAACCACUUGUGUGGGCUGCAAGCUAAAAAGCCCACUUAAGUGUAUGUGGCCCAUAUCUUAUAAUAUACCAAAAAUCACUUAAGCGCGUGGUACCUUACCACAUUUCAUAGUCUACUUAAGUGCAUCGUACCUUACGAUGUUCUACAAUUCACUUAAGUGCAUCGUACCUUACGGUGUUCCUUAUUUACUCUAUCUCUCAUCAAUCCGUCCUUUUGUGUGUGACCCUAUAGGUUUUCGCGACAUUGGCAAUUAUAUUAAGUCACGUAUUUAACAUAAUAAACAGUGAGUGAUAUCUAGCAACACAUCACUGCUACCUAAGACACAAAAAUGUCAUGUGAUCUGACAAAUCCUUUUAUGAUAAUACUUGUGUGUACAAUUACCCUUUUUCUCUUAUGUCUAUAUUGAACACAAGGCAUAGACUGUGUCAUCCUUAUCCAGUUCAAUAUUGGGCCCUUAGACAUUUAUCUUGUUAUGCAAGAUGGGCAAAAUUCAUAUAGGUCACUCAUGUCCCUCAACAUGCUUCGUGGAGUACCCAUCAAUUGUCUUUAUGGUCAUCCAGUUACGGAUGACGUUUGAUCAAUAAUAAAGCACUUGACUCUACAUCUAGGGUACAUAGUGGUUUUCAGGUCGAAUGGUGGUAUACACCACUGUCACCAUGAGAAUAACUUAUGACAUUUUGCAUAACAUUCUAUGUAGUAUUCUCAUAGCGGGUUAAUCCAGUAUAAAUAUUACUCCUAAUAUUCAUACUUAUGUUUAAGACUUGAUAACUCCUUAUUCAUGAUCCAUGAGAUGUGACGAUCAGUCUAUAUACAUAAUAGUCUUAAUGCUUUAAUGUUAUCCCACUUCACAAUAAAGCUCGACUACGGAUACUUCAAGUAUAGUGUCCUUAUGUUUAAUGGGAUCUCAUGAUUAAGUCACACUUGAUACAUUAAACAGACCAGUUAUUCUAGGGACUUUAUUAAACAAAUAUAAUAAAGAAAAAGUAUUUUAUUAUUUAUAAAUAAUUCGACACAAGUACCAAAAGUAUUGGCCUCUAGGGCUUACACCAACCAUCUCCCACUAGCACUAGAGCCAAUAAGGCAUACCCCUAAUACCCAUAGAUCUAGUAUGUCCAUCAUGCUUCUACUGCGCAAGAGGCUUUGUUAGUGAGUCAGCAAUAUUGUCAAGUAUAGGUACUCUGCAUAUUUUCACAUCUCCUCUAUCUAUUAUCUGUUGAAUGAGGUGAUAACGCAUAAGUAUGUGUUUGGAUUGUUGGUGAGAUAUAGGCUUAUUAUCUUGUGCGAUAACACCAUUGUUAUCACAAUAGAGAUCAAUGAGAUCCACAAUGCUAGGAACUAUGCCAAGUUCACUAAUGAACUUUUUAAUCCAAACUAUUUCCUUUGCUGCACUUGAGGCAGCAAUAUACUCGACCUCGGUUGUAGAAUCAACAAUUGUAUCUUGUUUUGAACUUUUCCAGCUCACAACGCCACCGUUUUAGUAGAACACAUAACCAAAUUGCGAUCUAAAGUCAUCCUUAUCUGUCUGGAAGCUAGCAUCGGUGUAUCCAAUUACAGCAAGCUCUUCCUGACCUCCAUAUAUCAAGAAUGAGACCUUAGUCCUUCUCAAAUACUUAAGGAUAUUCUUGAUAACUACCCAAUGAGCAUCACCAGGAUCAGAUUGGUACCUACUCGUUGCACUUAAAGCAUACGAGACAUUUGAUCAAGUACAUAGCAUGGCAUACAUGAUAAAUCCUAUUGCAUAUGCAUAUGGAAUCUUAUUCAUGCGAUCCAUUUCUUCCUUAGUUGAAGGGGAUUAUGUUUUUGAUAGACAUAUGUCAUGUUGCAUAGGUAUGAAUCCUUUCUUGGAAUCAUGCAUAUUAAAGCGUCUUAACAUUUUGUCUAUGUAUGCACUCUGACUUAGGCCAAGCAGUUUUUGUGAUCUAUCUCUAUAGAUCUUGAUUCCUAAUAUAUAGGUUGCUUCACCUAGGUCCUUCAUAGAAAAGCAUUUCCCCAACCAAGACUUUACUUGUUGCAGGGUAAGGACAUCGUUUCCAAUGAGUAAUAUGUCAUCUACAUAUAAUACUCUAAUAUAUAGGUUGCUUCACCUAGGUCCUUCAUAGAAAAGCAUUUCCCCAACCAAGACUUUACUUGUUGCAGGGUAAGGACAUCGUUUCCAAUGAGUAAUAUGUCAUCUACAUAUAAUACCAGGAAGAUGAUCAUGCUCCCACUAACCUUCUUGUAGACAUAAGGCUUAUCUUCAUUCUUGAUGAAUCCAUCUUGUUUUACUGUCUCAUCAAAAUGAAUAUUCCAGCUUCUGAAAGCUUGCUUCAAUCCAUAGAUUGAUCUCUGUAACUUACAUAUCUUUUGGGCUUCUUCUGGUAUGUCAAGUCCUUCAGGUUGUGUCAUGUACACAUCCUCAAGAAGAUUCCCAUUAAGGAAAGUAAUUUUGACAUCCAUCUGCCAUAUUUCAUAAUCAUGAUAUGCAACGAUAACAAGUAAAACCCGAACAGAUUUAAGCAUUGCAAUUGGUGGAAAGGUUUUAUCAUAGUCAACUCCGUGAAUUUGUUUAUAUCCUUUUGCAACCAGUCUUGCCUUAUAGGUAUGUACCUUACCAUCCAUGUCACUCUUCUUUUUAAGGACCCACUUGCAUCCUAUAGGGUUAACUCCUACAGGAGGCUCUACCAAGGUUCAAACCUAGUUUGUGUACAUGGAAUCCAUUUCAAAUUCCAUGGCUUCUAGCCACUUCUCUGACUCGAACCAAUUAUGGCCUCUUGGUAGGUCACAGGCUCAUCUUGAUCCAUGAGUAUACAUCACAUUGAUCAGUUAUGAGAUAUUCAUAUCUCUCAGGUAUGUGACAUAUCCUGCUUGACCUACGCUGGUCUUGUUUUACUUGAGCAGGUUGCUUUUCCAUAAUUACUUGUGUUUCCUGCUUUAAUUCCUCCAUAUGUGUAUCAAUGCUUUGUGAUUCUUGAAUUUCUUCAAGAUCUACUUUCCUCCCACUAAUUCCUUUGGAAAUAAAAUCCUUUUAUAGGAAAACUCCAGUUCGAGCGACAAACACUUUGUCCUCAGAAGGAUUGUAGAAGUAACACCCUCUUAUUUCUUUAGGAUACCCCAGAAAUAAGCAUUUGUCAGAUUUGGGCUCAACCUUAGUUGAAAUUUGUCGUUUCACAUAAGCUUUGCAACCCCAAAUCUUCAUGUAAGACAUAUGUGGUCUCUUACCACUCCAUAUCUCAUAUGGUGUCUUCUCAACCUUUUUGGAUGGAACACGGUUAAGUGUGUAAGCUGUUGUCAAUAGUGCAUGUCCUCAAAAGGAGUUUGGAAAGAUCGACGUGACUCAUCAUGGAUAGACCAUGUUUAACAAGGUUUAAUUUCUUCUCUUAGAUACACCAUUCCAUUGGGGUGUUCUAAGAGGAGUAAGUUGGGAUAGAAUCCCACAAUCUUAUGGUCAUCAAACUCUAGGCUUAAAUAUUCACCACCUCGAUCUAAUCGAAGAGUUUUAAUAUUCUUACCUAGUUGGUUUUGUACUUCAUUCUUGAAUUCCUUGAACUUUUCAAAGGACUCUGAUUUUUGUUUCAUUAAAUACACAUAACCAUAUAUACUUAAGUCAUCAGUAAAUGUGAUGAAGUACUGAAAACCUCAUAUGCCUGGUAUGUUAAGUGGUCCACAUACAUUAGUAUGUAUGAGGGCCAAAAGAUCAUUAGCUCUUACACCUUUUCCUGUGAAUGGAGUCUUUGUAAUCUUUCCAAUUAAACAAGAUUUGCAUGUCUCAUAUGAUUCAUAAUCAAAAGAGUCAAAGAGUCCAUCUUUAUUGAGUUUGCAAAUUCGUUUCUCAUUUAUGUGGCCUAGUCGACAAUGCCAAAGGUAAGUUGGAUUUAACUCAUCAGGUUUCAUUAUUUUAGUAUUAAUGUUAUAAAUAGGCAUUUUAAUAUCAAGGACAUAUAGUCCAUUAUUCAUUUGUGCAGUAGCAUAGAAUAUAUCAUUCAAAUAAAUGGAACAACAACUUUUCUUUAUUAUAAAUGAAAAAACAAACUUGUCCAAACAAGAAACGUAAAUAAUAUUCCUGCUAAUUACAGGUACAUAAUAACAGUUCUCUAACUGAAUUAUUAAACCACUAGGUAAAGUUAAUACAUAAGUUCCUACGGCUAAAACAACAAUCUUUGCUCCAUUGCCAAUUUGUAGGUCAACUUCACCUUUUUCCAAAUCUCUACUCCUUUCUAGCCCCUGCACACUAGUACAAAUGUAAGAAUCGCAUCCAGUAUCUAAUACCCAUGAUGCAGAAGUAGAUAGAUUAAUUUCAAUAACAAAAAUACCUGAAGUUGAAGUCUCUACUCCAUUCUUCUUAUCUUCCAGGUACUUAGGGCAGUUUCUCUUCCAGUGUCUGGUCUUACCGUAAUGGAAGCAAGUGCCAUCCUUUGCUAUACCUCCACUAGGCUUCAAAGCAUGAGCAGUGGGUUUGGAUUUGGCAACUUCCUUGCUUUUCCCUUUACCACCCUGCUUGGUGGGCCUUUUGUUAUGUCUCUUUCCAUUUCCGAUCAUCAAAAUGGACUUCCCUUUUGACUUCAAAUUCUUCUCAGCAGUUCUUAACAUGCCUAGCAGUUCAGGAAGAGUUUUGUCCAUAUCAUUCAUGUUGAAAUUAAGGAUAAAUUGACUGAAGCUAUCUGGCAAUGAUUGCAAGAUCAAAUCAGUCGCAAGUUCCUUUCCGAGGGGAAAAUCCAACCUCUCAAGGUUCUCCACAUACCUAAUCAUCUUGAGCACAUGGGGACCUACAGGGGAUCCCUCAGCUAACUUGCCUUGAAAAAGGGCUUUUGAAACUUCAAACCUUUCAUGCCUUGCCUGCUUUUGAUAGAGCAUCUUCAGGUGUCCGAUCAUAUCAAACGCUGCCAUGUUCUCAUGUUGCUUUUGCAACUCCGAGUUCAUGGUAGCUAGCAUGAGGCAAGCGGUUUCAUUGGCAUCAUCGACAUGCUUCUUAUAAGCAUCUCUUUCUGCCUUAGGUGCAGAACUAGGAGGUUCCUCUUCAGGAACAGAUUUCUCCAAGACAUCCAACUUUCUAUCAUGCUUGAGGAUAAUCCUCAGAUUUCGGUGUCAAUCCAGAAAAUUUGUCCCAGAAAAUUUUUCCUCAUCAAGGAUUGAUCGUAAAAUGUUGUUAAAGGUGUUUUUUGUCAUGGUAAUCUACAUGAAAAAUAUGAAAAUAUAAGUAUCAUUAAAAUAACAUAUUUAAUUAGGCCUUUAAUUAAAUAUGCUUCCACUAUUUUACUCAAAACAAAUGACCCUCACCAUUUGAUUCGAAAAAUCCCGUUAGAAGAUUUUAUAAUGGGUCGAGAUCCACAUUUCACUUUGUUUUAAGUCCGCAUAGGCGGAUUACACAAAACUAGGUUAUUUAGGUAGGAACUUCUUCCAAUUGUAUCCAAUACAACUCUCGAAUAUUUAGUUGGGUGAAUAACUUCUUAUUCCAAUCCAUCAUAUGGAUCAUUUCCAACUCUUGCUUCUAAACGUAUAUAAUCUUAUUAUAAUUUGUUUAGUUAAGUUUAACCCAUUGUUUUAGCAAUUGGAUAUUACAAUUAUCCCAUCGCACCUUACUAAUAUAGAACACGCACCUCGCGUAGGCGAAACCUACAUUAUUCGAUACUAGUCUUGAUGAGUGCUAAAACUUGGAAAGUAUAAACUUAAUAUUUAAUUUAAGGGAAUUUGCAAUUAUUUUGAUCUCACCGGCUUAUUUAUAAAUCGUCUUUCACAUGCAUCAACAUACAUACAAAAUGAAACAGUUAUAGUCAAUGAGAGAAUCUAAGCAAACCUAAAAACGAUAUAAGUUUCUCUAAGCAAGAUCUUGAAGGUUGUCCUCUUUUGAUAUUAUAUUCUUCUAUUUCUUCAUAACAUUACAUUACAUAAAAGAAACUCGUUUUACAUACGAGGGAGUGAGAUGAGAAAAGAAGUUACAUUAAGAGAUUAAAAGAGAGGUACGACAUGCGAGUCAUAUUUUAAAAUCCCAAAAACAAAAUAAAGGAAAACUAAGAUCAUAAUUGAUCACCACAAGAAAAUAAUAAUAAACACAUUAUUAUUAUUAAUUUAGAUCCUGUUAAUUAAAUAAACCAAAUUAAAUUUUGGCGACUGAUCACACUAUGCAGAGUUAGCCAGGGGUUCCGCUGCCCGGUCAGCGGACGAGGGUCAAAGGGGCAGCGCCCCCUGUGGGGUUGUUAUGGGCAGCGCCCUGACACAAAAUUUUAAUGAACAAUUCAUUUGAAACCGACAUCGAUUUUCGCAUCAACACUUGAUACUUAAAAGCAUAACUCUUGUGCAGUCACAACCCUAAUCGCAUAACUCUUUGACAACAUAAUCAUUAUACUGUCAUGAAGCCUAAUGCAGCAAUUUCAUACCGUCAAACACACCUCGAUUUUUAAUUCAGUAUGAUUGAUCAACACAUCAUUACUUCACCAUAGUAAUGUUGGAUUCCGAAGCAAAUGAACAUUGAUCGCUCAAAGGAAAACAACCAUUAAGUGUUUGAAUGAAUGAAACAUAAACAGUAUAUCAUAUAUACCAUAUUUUUACAUCAGAAUUACUUAUAUAUAUAUAUAUAUAUAUAUAUAUAUAUAUAUCUAUACUAAUUAUAUAUACUAUAUACUAUAUAUAUAUAUAUAUAAAUUGAUCGAUCUCAUUUGUGUAACCUAUGGAUAAUCGAUGUAUCGCUGCUUCACCAUACUAAUGUCGGAUUCCGAAGCAUAGUCAAUAUCAAUCGUUCAAAUCGUGCACACAUGAUGCCAAAUGUAAUUGCUCAUUUUUUAUUUAAUUCAUUAUGUCUUUUAAUCGUAUUAAUACAGAAAAUACAGAAAAAUAAACAGCUAUCAAAUGCAUGGUUUUGUAAGUGGCUCUGAUACCACUGAAGGAAAAUAACGAUUCAAAACGCAGCGGAAAUUAAAAUUCUCCUUUAGUUAUCCUUUAGAAUGGGCAUGAUCAGUGAUAAAAAUCAUUACCUCUUGUGGCGAUUGAAACCUUUGAUGCAGAUAUAAGGAGUGACCACGAGCAUUGAAUGGUGACAACGCCUCUACUUAGUCCACACGAACAAAUUCCUUCAAUCUCAGUGUUAGCUGCUAUGAAUUAAGGCUUUGAGUGUGUGUGUGUGUGUGUGUGUGUGUGUGUGUGAGAGAGAGAGAGAGAGAGAGAGAGAGAGAGAGAGAGAGACGAAAUUUCAUCUAAUGAAAUGCUUCUGCACAAGGGUUCUAUUUAUAGAACCACUUAAGUGUAUGUGACUCAUAUCUUAUGAUAUACCAAAAAUCACUUAAGUGUGUGGUACCUUGCCAUAUUUCGUAUUCUACUUAAGUGUAUCAUAUCUUACGAUGUUCUACAAUUCACUUAAGUGCACCGUACCUUAUGGUGUUCCUUAUUUACUCUAUCUCUCAUCAAUCUGUCCUUUUGUGUGUGACCCUAUAGGUUUUUGCGACAUUGGCAAUUAUAUUAAAUCAUGUAUUUAACAUAAUAAACAGUGAGAGGUAUUUAGCAACACGUCAUUGCUACCUAAGACACAAAAAUGUCAUGUGAUCUGACAAAUCCUUUUGUGAUAAUACUUAUGUGUACAAUUACCUUUUUACCCUUAUGUCUAUAUUGAACACAAGGCAUAGAUUGUGCCAUCAUUGUCCAUUUCAAUAUUGAGCCCUUAAACAUUUGUCCUGUUACGCAGGAUGGGCAAAUUCCAUCUAGGUCACUCAUGUCCCUCAACAUGGUUCGUGGAGUACUCAUCAACUGUCUUUAUGGUCAUCCAGUUACAGAUGACAUUUGAUCAGCAAUAAAGCACUCGACUCUACAUCUAAGGUCCAUAGUGGUUUCAGGUCGAAGGUUGGUAUACACCACUAUCACCAUGAGAAUAACUUAUGACAUUUUGCAUAACAUUCUAUGUAUUAUUCUCAUUGUGGGUCAAUCCAGUAUAAAUAUUACUCCUAAUAUUCAUACCUAUGUUUAAGACUUGAUAACUCCUUAUCCAUGAUCCAUGAGAUGUGAUCAUCAGUCUAUUUACAUGAUAAUCUUAAUGCUAUUAUGUUAUCCCACUUCACAAUAAAGCUCGACUGCGGAUACUUCAAGAAUAGUGUUCUUAUGUUUAAUGAGAUCUCAUGAUUAAGUCACACUUGAUACAUUAAAUGGAUCAACUAUUCUAGGGACUUUAUUAAAUAAAUAAUAAAGACAAAGCCUUUUAUUAUUAAUAAGUAAUUCGACACAACUACCAAAAGUAUUGGCCUUUAGGGCUUACAUCAAUGAUGAAUACUACAACAUCUUCAACUUCUAGCUUGCUAUAUUUGGCGAACUAAUACUAUUUGACCCUAUAUACAUACAUAUUUUUUAUAUCCCUAUUAGUGUGAAUUUCGUCGCAAUAUUCACAUUUUCCAUCUUUUUCGAUUUUGGUAAUGAUAUUUGUAAUAUGUGGAGUAAAACAAUCUUAUGCAAUGUUUUUUUUGAACAUGCUAUCGUAUAAAAAGUAAUAGAAAAAGCUUAAUGAUGAUAAAAAAUGUAGGUGAACUUUAAUAUUUAUAGAUAAUACAUGUCAAUACAUUGCUUCUUUUUUUAAUUGAUUGUGUGACAUUUAGUACCCCUUAGUAUUUUCAACUUGACCAACAUCUAUACUCUAAUAAGAAGACAUUAUUCAUGUGCUUUAUGAUUGUCCCGUUGUAAUGCCCAUCUGGCUGGCAGCGGUUCACACGAGUCAAAGAAUAAAAUUCUUCUUCAGAGAUCUUAAGUUAUGGAUAAAGCUUAACAUAAUGAAGAAUCUUGGUCGGAAUUGUAAUGAGAAUUGGGAUGCUUUUUGGGCAACCUCCUGCCAUAACAUUUGGAACUAGCACAACAAGGAAAUGCACGACAAAGAUUUUGCUAGACCAUUAUGUUCCACAUCUUACAUUUUUUCCUUAUUGCAUGAUUAUAGGAAUGCUUAAAAUAUUUCUAAUAUAGCCAUGAUCCAUCAUUAAGAGCUUAGUUUUAUUUGAUGGGAGCCCCCUCAGAAAGGUUGGGUCAAGAUUAAUUCAGAUGGUACCAGGGAUGGUGCAUGUAAUACUGGUUGUGGGGGCUUAAUUAGAGGAAAUGAAUGGGAGUGGUUAGGAGGAUUUGAAAAUAAAAUAAGCACAUGUAGUGUUUAUUCAGCGGAGUUAUGGGGGUUCUCGAAGGUUUGAAGCUUGCGUCUAGACUAGGUUUCACUUCCAUUAAAGUUAAUGUGGAUUCUCUCCAAGUGGCCAAAAAUAUCAAUUCAAGUGACUUUAGCAAAAUUAUGGAAGGAACUUGAUUUCAAAAAUCAGAUUUCAUAUGGAGAAAUUUGUGGAUGUUAGAGUGAGGCAUAAUUAUCGUGAAGCCAAUUGAUGUGCAAAUGCUCUUGCGAAGAGUAGUUUAAGUAAUCAGGAUGAAUGUGUUAUUUUGAUGUUUGCCCACCUUUUUCAAAUCACUUGCUUGAAAGUGAUUUGUUGGGUUUGUAUGUUCCCUGGUUAACCCUGGGUUAGUUUGUUUUCCUUUUGGGCCUCGACCCUCCUUACAACAACAAAAGACAUCUAUACUCAAAUAACUUGCUCUUGGAUUUUUAAAAUAAUCUAAUGAUAAUGUAAUGAUUAGAUGAUAUGUAUAUAUAAUGCAAGUGUGUAGUAGUAUUAGGAAUGGGAAUAGGUCAGAUCGGCCUACACGGACCUAUAGCCUGACCUAUUUAAGGACAUGUCAGACCUAUUUAAUUAAAUAGAUAGGCUUAUACUUUUUUAAAAGUCUAUUUAAUUAAAUAGACAAGACUUAUGCAAUUAAAAAACAUAUGAAGCCUUAUAGGUCGGUCUAUAUAUGCAUAUAUUAAAAAUAGGCUAAAUAUGUUGGCUUAUAUAUGCAUAUAUAUUUAAAAAAAAUAGGCUAAAUAUGUUGGCUUAUAUAUGCACAUAUAUAUAAGACUUCAUAGAUAAAAUUGACUAUUUGAAAGUCUUAAUAUAAAACAGAUUUUGAAAUAAGCCUUCAAGUCUGACUGGACUUUUAAAAAGAUCGGGUCAGGCAACAAAAAAAUUACAAUAGGCCAUAGGUUAAGCCCAUGCCUUAUAAAUAUAUCGCAGGUCGAGUUCAGGCCUUCUAAGGUCUAGCCUGACUUGUCCCUAAGUAGUAUGCAUUGGUUUUAUCUUAAAAAAUGUUAGCCAUAUAUAAAAAAUGAUUGCUUUAGUUAUUAAUAUGUAUAAUUUAUUUAUUUUAUAAAUAAUGAUUUUUUUUGCAACUUCAUAUUGUUUAUAAUAUUAUAGUGUUUUAAUUUAUACUUUACUUGGUUAUAGUGAUUGUUAUUUGUUUAAAUAUUAUAUAGAAAAUUAAUAUGAUUAAGAUCUACUAAUGAUAUAUACAAAUGUAGAUAAUAGUAAUUAAUAUAAUAUUAAUAAUAAUAAAUUGAGAGAAAUAAUACAGGUUUUUUUACAAAAAUAACCCACUUUUUCAAGGAAAUUCCCAAAAUACCCCUGGUUUCAAAUAAAUUCUCAAACUACCCCAUUUUUAGGAGGAGUCUCCAAUUGAAUUGGCGACUCCUCUUAAAACUUGAAUGGAGGCGCCAAUUAGAUUGGCUAGGGCAGGUGCCCUAGCCAAUCCAAUUGGCGCCCCUGUGUAGGUUUUAAGAGGACUCGCCAAUUCAAGUGGAGACUCCUCCUAAAAUGCAAUUUUGGUGUUAUAAAUAGAUGCGUUGUGUGAGUAAAUGUUCCACAUCUCACACAAUCAUUUGGCAAUCAUGUUUGGUGUUCGUCGCCGAUACGGUAAUGUGAUUUAUGCGAGAGACGAACCUCAGAUGCUGAUGUUGUUCUGGAACAUCACUACAUUCGAUCAACUGAAGCGGGAGCUGGUUCGUUGGUUAGAUGGGAAAAUACCAGAAGGGGAAAAAAUUAGAAGUAUUGAGAGACUUGACAGUAUCUUUGGUUGGGUGUGAAUGAAGACUGAUAAGGAUGUUAGGGAAAUGAUGUUCGGUCGAGAUGACAUCAAUUUGAUUGUUGUACUCAGUUAGAAAUAUUUAUGUUUUUAGAUAGCUUAUUUUGUACUGAUGUUUGUUGUGAACCUCGUUGUAACAAAAACUUAAUGAUAUAUAAUGAUUGAAGGUUACGGAAAUACAAUGUUACAAAAAGCUUAAGACCUAGAUGAUGCUCCUCGAUUGGGACAGUUGUUCUUGUUGUGUCCUGGUUGACGACAGAUACUACAUAAUCUUAUCAUUUUAUUUGUGGAAUCCAUCUCUACAAUGUUACAAAAAGCUUAAGACCUAGAUGAUGCUCCUCGAUUGGGACAGUUGUUCUUGUUGUGUCCUGGUUGACGACAGAUACUACAUAAUCUUAUCAUUUUAUUUGUGGAAUCCAUCUCUGUUCCGAUACGUGUGCUGUUUGGCCUUCCUUUCUUCUUUCUACGUAUCUCGUCAUUGUGCCAAACAAUAUCACCUUCAUAUGGAGGCCAGUAAUCCUCCAUUGGUAGUACUGAGAAGCUUUGACUAUAUACAUUCCUGAUGGUGUUGGCCUUGUACACAUCAGAUAAAUGGUUGUAAGCAUCUUGACGAGUAUAAGCGCAUGCUGCAAUGACAUGGGAGCAAGGUAUGCGGAAGGCCUGGAAUUUUCCAUAAUUGCACCAACCUCUGUUUAGUCUAACAGCGUAGGCUAAAUUUGGUCUCCCCUCGUUGUGGUCCAUUGUUUCCUGGACGCUGAAAUUUUGCCUAUGACGGUCAAAGACUGUUACAACGUGUGUACUAGAUUUAAUGCUCUCCUCUUUCAUGACCUUCAUACAACACUCACUGAAUACUUGCCCGGACAUUAACACCACACUCCAUUUUCACCUCUGGUUGCGAACAUAGAAGCCAACCUAUAAUAGGUUGAUCUUACCAAGGCGAUUAUCGGCAGACUUCGAAUUCCUUUGAAUACCCCGUUCAUGUAUUCCACAAUGUUUGUUGUCAUGUGGCCCCAUCGACAACCUCUGUCAAAUGCCUUUGUCUACUACUCUACUGGUAUGUUAUUUAGCCACCUCCCUGCGUCUUCAUUAGACAGUCUAAUUUCAUCACGAUAAUAUUGAAAUGACGACUGAGUUAGAGCAUACCCAGCAUUCACCACCUUCUUGCGAAGAUUCUUAUCUUUUAUAGCACGCAUGAAGUUUUGUGCAAUGUGUCUGAUACAGUAGACAUGGGUGUAGAAGGAGGAUCAGUUCAUUUUCGUAUGGUUGUUAUGGCACUCUCAAUGACAGCUAGUCUAUCAGAAAUCAAACAGAGAUUGGCUUGUGGAGCCACAUGCGUUCUGAGAUGUCGAAGAGAAACCCCAUCCACCACGGCCCUUCAACAAGAGCAAGGCAAUGGAAAGACAUGUUGUUUCCGUCUUGUGCAACCGCCAUGAGCAAAGUACCCUUGUAUUUUCCAUAUAACCAAGUGCCAUCAAUUUGAAUAAUAGGUUUGCAGAAUGCGAAACCUUUGAUGCACGGGUCAAAUGCCCAAAAGAGACGAUGAAAGAUUCUAUUACCUGUAGCACAGGUUCCGUCUGGCAUCAUCGCUGGCAAUGUCUCCAUGAUUGCCACAGUUCUUGGGACAUAUGUUUUUAGUGCUCAUAAAAACCGUGGUAAUUCCUUGUAUGAAUCCUCCCAGUUGCCGAAAACUUGUUCAACAACCUUUGUCCUCGCAAUCCAUGCUUUCUUGUAAGAUGGAGUAUAAUUAUAUGUUGAUCUGAUAUGGGAUAUAAUUAUACUCACCUUCAAUGAUGGGUCUUUAUUAACCAAUGAGAGAAUGUCUUGACAUAUCAACGAUGCGCUUAGUUUACCGUGAUCUUGUUCAACGUUAGUUGCAAUGCAACUGUGAGGUGGGUCUAUUGAACCGAUCUCCCAAGAGUCGUUUUUCUUCUUGUAAGAUGCAGUCAAACGAAACUUACAAAGCAUGUUACGACAUUCGAUAACAUACCUUAUAGAAUCAGUGUGUUUCACUGUAAAGUCAGCAGAGUUGUUCAUGUGGAAUUUUUCGAUAGCCAGAACACAUUCUUCUUUGGUACGAAACAUGUCUCCCACCUUUAAUUCUCCUUCUGAUCUCGGAUACAGAUUAUAGAAAACACUGUUGGAUGUUUCAUCGUCGUGAAGAUCCAUAUUUGUCAUAUGUUGAGGCGGAUUGUAGACAUGAGUAGGAGGUAUUGGUGGUGGUUGAUCAUCAUCUUCAUCGUUGUUGUUCAGCAUGUGAUCAACCUGUAUCUCGGUCUCCUCUUCUUCUUCAUCAACGACGUUCACUUCUGCUUUUGCUUCUGGGUUGACGUUAUUUGACCAUUGUGGAUCAUCUUCACCAGAUUCAUCCUGACCGGUUAGUUGAGACUGUUGAGAUGGUAUACAUGGUUGAAGAGUAAUGUAUAACUCAAUACAGUUGCAGCCUGAAUGUUCAUGACUACAAACAUGUAUUCAACAUCUUCAUCGUCUGUACCUUAAGGGGAAAAUACUGGCAUUGACUUAUUCUAAAAAUAUGGAUUUGAUAUGUGAUCUUUGACACAAAAUACCCAAUCCUGUACAAGAUUGUAUUCUUUUUUUCAAAUGCAUGAAGGUUGCAUUUCUCUUAUCGUGGUCUAAUGGUAUCGGUGUUUUGAAACAAAAAACCAUAUAGCUCAGACUCGUAUGCUUCACCGUUGCAGUGAACGUUGACAUUGUAUAAUGAUGAAGAUGACAUUGUGCAGAUGAAAACUAUUUUUCUUACUGCAGAUGAAUGUGAGUGAAGUGUUCUUUGGAUGUUUGAUAGUAAGACUUUUUUUUUUUUUUUUUUUUUUUUUAUCUCCUUUUUUUCAUUUUAAAUUAAGGGAGUUGAAGUGUCGUCACAUGCUAGCUAGUUCGAAGUGACGUGUGGCACAUGCAAGCUACUCCGACAUGAGACGCUGUCGCACAUGCAAACUACUCCAAAUGAUGUGUCAACCACUGCAAGUACUAAGAAGGACAUGUUCAGCAUGUCAAGAGACAAGACAGCCACAUGUCAGAACAGUGCAGACACACACUCCAAUGACAUUGGCGCCCCACGUCAUUCCUUGCCAUCAUGGGUCCAAUUCAAGUUGGAGACACAUCAUUCAGACCUCGAACGCAACAAUCAGACCUAGUGUCUUGCAUGCAUGUCCCUUUGGAGGACGCCAUUGAAAUGGCGACCCCUCUUAAGGAUACAUGGUCGCCAAUCAGAGUGCCGAGACACCAUUGCAAGCAUAACUUUUCAUGUCUCCAUCCCAUUUGCCUUAAUACAUCCACAUCCAUCAACAUUCUCCCACGCAUCACUCUCACUACUGUCCUCUACAAUAUUCUGUCUACAAUUUCUCUUCAACAACUUUUGUGAUUUCAUCUACCAACCCCGCAAAAUGUCUAUCCUCACAAUGGGCGAUGCACAUAGAGGAACGGUCUUGCAACAUCACAACAUAUGUAGUUUUUCUUUUUGUUAACUUUUUUCUUCAUCUUUCACACCCCCUUUUAUUUUUACAUACCAACUUAUGUUCAGAUUUUUUAUGCUUUCUUUUAUAGAGAUGUAUCAAGUUUCGAAUGGGUCACGAAAUAUGUCCAUUGCGACCGGAUGAUUCACCUUAUGUUGAACCUGCCGGUUUUGGUCAUAUACGCAAGACUUUGUCUGGUCCAUAUACAAAUCAUUCUAGCUUAUGCAAGAAGAUGAGAUUCAGAGACACAACAUUUUGGUUCCAGCACGGUAAGUCCAUGGACGUUGAAGACGAUUACAUGCUUUUGGUUAUCCAUUGAAGGUAAGGCUGUAAUGUAAACCAACUAUGCAAUUCAUUUGCAUGGAGUUUAGAGACUGAUUUUAGAUGAUAAUGCCAGAGUCAAGGUAUACUACUCUCCGCCUUAGUCGUACUAUAAUAGUUUAUACUUAGAUGAGAUUCUACCAAAGAUGCUCGAUAAUAAAAAUAGGUUUACUAUGCUGCUUAAUUGGUCGUUUAUUUCCCGAAGAUAGUGGUUCUAGAUGCAAUAUGUACUUUACUCUACUUUAGACAUGUAGACAGAAUAGGAAGUACAGUGGGGAUCUGCUUGUCUAGCCUAUCUCUAUAGCUCCGUGGCAAAAACUUCACACAAAGACACAUCUACAUUUCUGAUGUGUGUUUUGCUACAAGCAUGGGGUUGGUCAAGACUACCGUCUCUAGCACCCGUCAAUAACAACCCUUUCACAUUUCCGUAUGCACAAAAGUAAGUUGUUUAAAUUGCUAUAUCUUUACUUACUUCUUUAAAGAUUAUUACAUCUAACUAUUAUUUUUUGACUUUUUGGUGUAGAUGGUCUGCACGUGGUAUGAGUUACAACAUAUGUCCAAGACACUGUAUUACUCAGUAUCGCAACCUGUUGGAUCACCUUCGACCGACAGACGUAAGGAAAAUAACUUAAUUAUUUCGUUAUAUCUUGUUAACUUCUUCUACAUUGACUAUAAUCCUAUCUUAUUUCACAUUUCAGUUCAUUUGGCGUCCAUACCUUAAUUUGGAUCAUGACCAUGAGGUCAACGCUGAAGACGCGGCCGUAUGGACUGCAUGCACACCGAUAAUACGGUUCACAACUGUGGAGAUGUACAACAGUGAUCGUGUGAAGCUGCAGUUCAGUAUGCUCCAAAAUAUCCCAGAUCCCCCAUCUAGCCUAGGAGAAUGGCAUCUGUGUAAAGUUAACGACCAAUGGAACUUCAAUCCAUGGCAAAGCUUCGCAAGAUCGGAGUGUCGCAAAUGGAAGCACCGUCAUGACCAUGUGUUAACUGACGCAGUCAUGCCAACUAAAGAAAAACCAAGUUCGACUUAUAUGGCUUGGUACAAGAUCGGUUGGUUUUCAGUCAUCGCGAUGAUAUGUACUUGUAGGACCCACGCAGAUGACUUACACACCUGACACCUCAACAUCAACCCCAACACAGUCACAACGUUAGACCGGAUACACACAACCCCCUAUCCGUCAAACGUUUCGUUUCAACCAACACACAAACAUACAACCAAAUAUGCCAUACACCCAACCCCAAUACCAAGAGCAUACCCCAUACCACCACCAACAAAUUGACCAUCAACCUGAGACCCAACAUCGCUUCGCACCCACCCCAUCACCCUACCAAAGUCGCCUUAGCCAGAACACUCAACGAUCAUUCAACACCAACCGCUCCUUCUCCUACCGUAGCCAAGAAGCCCAAACAUCACAAAACCAAAACAUCCAACAACCUUAUCUCUACCAAACACCCCAACAACCUUUCCAACUUUUCCUCGACGCAUCGUUCACACUCAUGUCUCCCUUCAACCGUCCCGGUCGUCAUCAAUAAGUCAACCACAUCCCAACUUCUCUGGCAUGGGUCAUGAGCUCAGCUACGACGGUACACCGUUGAUGCAUACUGAAGACUAUGCCAACUUGUCUGAAUACCUCAACAAACCUUCUCCUGUAGUUGGUAGUGACGCUCCUGGCCCCUCAGAUGAUCAAACACCGGUGCAAAAUUGUCAACGUGGGUUAGGGCCAAGGGUUAGGGUAGCUAGAGGAUGUGGGACUGGAGGUCGGUUAGGUGAUCCCGGUCAUCACCAUUAGGUUUCUUUGUGUAAACGGCAAAUUUUAUUAAUAUUAAGUGGUCCUAUAUCAAAUUUAUCUAUCACGUAUACCAUAUAACAAAAAAAAUUGCAUUUUAGGAGGAGUCUCCAAUUGAAUUGGUGACUCCUCUUAAAACCUACACAGGGGCGCCAAUUGGAUUGGCUAGGACACCUGCCCUAGCCAAUCCAAUUGGCGCCUCCAUUCAAGUUUUAAGAGGAGUCUCCAAUUCAAUUGGCGACUCCUCCUAAAAGUGGGGUAGUUUGAGAAUUUUUUUGAAACCGGAGGUAUUUUGAGAUUUUUCUUAAAAAAUAGGUUAUUUUUGUAAAAAAACCUAAUACAAACAAAUAAAGUUAUAAAAUAACAUAUAAAAGUCAUAACAAAUGAAGCACAAAGACACAACAUGCAACAUAAAUAUUGACAAAUGUAAGAAACAACUAUAAGAAAACUCAAUUCCAACUGCAACUACUUUGAGUGUUGAUAUCGUUAUUAUCACUAUGUAGGUACAUUUUUGGAGCAUCAUUACUAUAUGAAUGAGUUGGAACCAUAUAAUAAAGUUUUAUAGUAGUGAUUGUUGUGAAUUCAAACUCAGCAUUUAUCUCCACCUUCAAAAAAAUUAGACAAAUUUGAAUGGUUAACUAAAUAAAGGAAGAAAAAAAAUAUGAAUUCUUUAAAAUGAAAAUAAAUUAAACAUGUAUUUAAAAUUUGCAUGUGUAGGGUCAAUUUCGGCGGUGAAUGAAUUCACAUGAAAGAGAAAAAUAAUAAUACUAUUAAAUUUGAUUGUGUUGUUAAAAUAUGUAAAGUGUUGAAUAAAACUGAAAUUGAAAAAGUAAAAAUAGUUGAAUACUUACAUAAAUUGUAGUGAUCAAAAGAUGUUAUCCGUAACAUAAAUCAAUGGGUCUAAUUUGUUUGGAAAAGCGGUAAAUAUAGCAUGAUAGACAAAUUGACCAUAUUGAGAGACGCCUAAUCGUGUAAGUAAUUGUCCAAGGAUUCCAUUGUAUGUCUAAUCAGUUGGCAUACAACUCAACGACAUUAUGCACAAAAUUCAUCAAUAAAUGUGUUAAAAUGAUUAUUGCAUUUGGUGGAUUCUAAAAGCAUGUUAUAUACAUAACAUGAUGUAUAACUUAGCACACAUGCAUUGAAGUUGAUUGUAGUGACUACACGAGAUAACCUUACAUGUUACUACUUGAUUAAAAAGACAUAUAUUUCAACUCACUUGAGAUAAUACAUCAGAUGUUAUAAAUUGAUGAAUAACCAAGCUUCUUUUUAGAUAUUGUAAAUAUUUGUCCAUUACAGGUUAUAUAUAUAACUAAAUGAUAAUUUUGUAAUAGAAUCAAAUAAAAAUUAAUGUCUUAAAAAAUCAUAGUUAAGCGUGAAUACUUCCUACAUAGUAAAAAACAGUGGAUUUGAAGAAAAAAGUUAUACAUCUAAUUUUUCUCUUACAUGUGGGCUUGAAAAUUUCUCAUAUUUUCCUUUCUACUAAUAUUAAUAAUCUCAUUGAAGAACAUUGACCUGAGUAAGAUCAAAGAGAUUUAAAAUUUUAAAAUAAAUAAUAAUAAUAAAAUUAAGAAGUUCCACUUAGUACAAUGGCAACAAAAGACAUGAAUAUAUCAAUUAAAAACAACAAGAACUAUAUAUUUUUAUUGAUGUUGUAAUAUUAAGUAAUGAAAUUUCUUUUUCAAUACUUGAGGUAACCAUGUUGUUGCUAGUUUUAUUAUUAUUGUCAAAUGUAUACAAUUGUGUGUAUUUUGGUGCUUGACUCGACUAAAGCAACAUGUUUCCUAUUGCAUGACAAGUUUGACCUUUAAGUCACAAAGUAGGUGGACAUUUUCCUUUGUUUGUGUUUGUGUCAAAAUUCAUAUUAUUAGAUGUGAAUGGAGAUAUAUCAUUAUAUUUCCUUGCGCUUGUUUUUUUACAGUAAAUAAACGCAUGCAUUAUAUGAAGAAUAUAAAGUUCAAGCAUAGUAAUAGUUCAUAUAAAGUUCAAGCAUAGUAAUAGAUAUCGUGUUAGCGCAUUUCCCAUCCACAUUAUAAAAAUAAUACUAAUAGUUAAACCAACCAAGUUAUGGACAUCAACAAACUUUAAGCAUAGUAAUAGACAACCAAUCAUAUUUCUUCCACAAGUGAUAAGUGAGUUUAGAAAUCACAAAUUUUAAAUCUAUCCAAUUACAAAUCAUUUCUUUAGCUUUGGGAGGCACAAUUCGAUCAUAUAAGUUCUUAAGUUUGAUUAAACUCACAAUUUAUAGAGGAAUCAUAUGUUGUUUGUAAAAGGAGAGUUUGAUUUGCAACUACCAUUGUUAGAUUCUCACUCAUAAACACAUCUCUUUCAUCCAAACUUCUUUGAGGCAUUUAAUUAAACACCAUGAGUACAAACUUAAAACAACCUAAACAUGAGAACAAACUAAACAACAAAACAACACAAACAAAAAACAACACAAACAAAAACAACACAAACACAAUAACAUUAACCAUUACAAGUACACAGACACAGAAUCUCAGAAAUUUCAUAUCUUUCGGUGGUGGAGGCUCUGGUGGAGGUUGUUUUUUUCAUGUUCGUGCCCCUUUUGCUCAUUGGUUGGUGAAGGUAAUUUCGGAGUUGUAAGCAUUUGGUGGUUGGUGGAAAAGAGAGAAAACUUGAUGGAGGUUGGAGGUAGAAUAAGGCAUGGAACCAACAUAGACGAGUGAUUCAAAUGAGUGAGAAUGAAGGAAGAAAAAGUUACAGUGGGGGAGAAACCUCCAUUGAAGAGAAGACAACCACCAUAAUGGUGGAGAGGACUCUAGUAAAGGAGGAGGAACCCCUAUAAAAGGGGGUGACGCUCACCAAACCAGGGAUACCCUAAUUUUAGAGAGAGGGGAGAACUUCUCUCUAAAACUCUUCAUUUAUACAUGUCUUCUCUCUUUCUUAUGCUUGUUUAAUAAUUCAUGCUUUUGGAUGAGUUUGGUUAAAUAAAAUACUUUGUAGGAAUUUUGGAGGUUAUUCUAGCAUAGGUAGGUCAAUUUUCUCACCACUGCAACAUAGUUGAAAUUUUUGUACAAUUGUUUGUCUUUAUUUUUUUCCCGUUAUUGACACCAUAUGAAUGCUCCACAAAAUUGACAUUCCCAAACAUGAUCUCCUAUAUUAAAAUGUUAUGUUUGAAUAAUUAAAAAAGUGUACGUAGUAAUAAUGUACAUAUAUUUAGAAUGAUUAUUAUUUUAUAAUUCGAAUGGUAAAAAGAACUAAUGUUGAUAUCACCUUGUAGGUGGUUGUCAACCAAAUCCAUGUUUUCAUUUAGAAAAUUACCAUCAGAUUUAUAUCGGUCACUAUGAUCAAAAUCAAAGUUUGGUGAAUUAUUCUCACAUAAGUUAGUGUGAAUGUUUUCUCUUCACAAUCCUUUGGUCUCAUUUGAAUUAGUGUUCAUAAAUGAAUGGGUUUGUGUUUGUGGUAUGUGAGAUUUACUUGCACUACUAAAAACACACUUGAUUGUGGCCGUUAAUGUGAGGCAAUUUCUAAAAACACCACAAAUUUAUUUUAAAAUGACACUUUUUUAUUAAAGACACGAGUUAAUGUUUAGUUAAUUCCAAUUUUUUUCAUUAGUCAUCUCUUUCUUUCUUUUUUUCACGUUUUAAAAAAAAUAUUAUUUCAUCCUAUUUUCGUUUACAUAUGAUUGUCUCUUCUUUGAAAACCCCAUAAAUUUAAAAUCUUAUAAUUUAUGGAUAAAAAUCACUAAUACAAAUAAGGUAUUUCAUGACAAAGCUUUCACAUCAACCAACAAAAAUUUGAGGUAUAAUCCUUGAGCUGACAAUGUUUUUUUGAAAAAGAUCAUUUAUUCACUCGGUUGGUAUAUAUAAUAGAGGGGGGAAACUAGUUAAGGGACACGCUUUGAAUCUCAACACCUACAGUUUAUGCUUUUAUUUAUUUUAUAAUGACAUCAUUCUUUUUUAUUUAUUUUUUGGCAAAAUACCCUUUUUGGUCCUUUAACUUUACCUCGGGGUCCAUUUUGGUCCCUUAAUUUUAAAAAGUUCCAAAUUGAUCCUUUAAUUGUUCAAAUAGUGCCACAGUAGUCCUUUCUGUCCAUUUGGCUGAAACGAGUGUUUUUUUUAAUGCGUGGCAACUGACGUGGAUUUCAAUUUUCAUCUUCUUCGUUUCAUCCUCUUCCUCCCUCUCUUGCUAGGUUUCUUCCCAAUUCGAUUUAGGAUUCUUCAAUUUGGGGAGGUCUACACUGAAAUUGAUUGUGGAAAAUAAAAUUAUCAUCAUCAAUGAAUUAUGGCACUAUUCAAAUGAAUCUAAUUUAAAAAGCUCUAGUAGUUUGGAUUCUAAUUUGCGAUGGAGACAUGGUUGUUCUUCGUAUUGCCUCAAUUGUUACGAACUUUGGGAAAUAAUUUUGAGGAUGUUGUCAUUAUAAGGUAAGAAUGAAUUUGAAUAUUUUCUUCUUUGCCGGUUGUUCUGAUAUAGACCAUUUGCCAAAUACACAGGAUGCAACACAAGUUGGUUGCAGAUACUUUGAUUGGUUCUAUGAGAUUAUGGUAGAUGAGAGAGACCAAUUUAUGAAGAAUCAAAAGAGUAGGUUGAAGAAGCUAAAAAAACAAACUUGAUGUAGCAAAAAUGGAGUUAGAGUAUCUCAGGGCUACAAAUAAGGGGCUAAAGCUACAGUUGAGGGAAUUACAAAUUCAUUUAAGAAGAUGGUGAAAUGGGAAUUUUUUUGGAAGAGCAUGUUUUGUAUUAUUUUAGGUGUGGUGGUAUUUAGAAUAUUGCAACAAGUGUAUGACAUUGAAUUAAUUUGAAUAUGUUUGUAUCAGUUUGAAUGGCAUAAUAUUUUGAAUCUAUUUGUAUCUAUUUGUAAGAACAUAUCUCUUAAUGUUAGCAAUUGACAUCAGUUAAUUUAUGUAUCAAUUAACGUGUUUCAGUUUAUUAUAUAGCAAUCAAUAUGUAUUGGUUUAUGAAUUGUGUAUUAGUUAAUGUGUAUCAGUCCAUUAUGUAUCAGUUGGUUUAUACCAGAACAAAUAAAAGAAGCCAUUAAUAUUUUGCAUUAGAAGGCUCAGUUGUGUAUACUAACAAUUAUAUAUCAGCUAGUUUAUACCAAAAUAGAUAAAAACAAGGCACUUAAAUAUUUUGCAUUAUAAAUAAGGAGUAAACCACUAAUAUUAUGCAUUAUUAAUGUGGUGUAAACCACUAACAUUCAGCAUUACUAAUGUGGUAUAAAAUACAUUGCAUAGGUUCAAAAGGAACUACAUAGGUUCAACACACAUUACAUUUCCAAAACACGUGUUCAAACUUAAACUAACAAUUCUAAAUUGAGUUCAACAUACAAAAUGACAAAUAACAACUCUAAGUUAAAUUAAAUUUUCCAGUUUAGUGUGGAUCUCUUAGUUGGUGUUAUCAUUCUUGUUAUUGGCCCAACUGCAGUCUUGGAUGCACUCAAUCUAGUUGUAGGUCCUGGUGGUACAAAUGGUGUUGUUGGCCUUCUGAAUGGUGGCUUCUUUGCCCUUCCAUGAGUUGAGUGAUGGGAUAUUUCAGUAGAUGUUUGAGAUGCCCUCUUAACUGGUUGCUUAUUUUCCCUUCCAUGAGUUGACUGUUGGGAUGUUUGAGUAGCUACUUAAGUGACUUGUUGGGAUGCAUUAAAAGGUGCUUGUUGGAAUGCUUGAGUAGGUGCUUGUUGGGAUGCUUGGGUAGGUUCUUGUUGAAUAGUUGAUGUCACCUUAUAAGUAAUUUGGUUAUGACCUAGUUUCUUACAUCUACUACACUUGACAAUGAAACCAUAUCUUCUCAUUUUGCGAUCAGAUCCACCAAUCUCACCUUGCUUUAGAUUCCUCCUAUUUUUUGGCCUUAUAUACAUUUUCCUAUACUUAAGUGGUUGCACAUCGGGAUACUUUGUUCUAACCCACAUAUUUGAGCCAUUAACAUGUUAUAUCGCAUGUUUGUAGACUUCUAUAUAUUUUGAUUUCCUAUAAUACUCAGAGAUGUAGUCAUCAACCUUAUGGUUUCUAUUAUUCAUAGCUAAAAGUGCAUGAACACAAGGUAGGUAUGUUAGUCCCCAUCUUCUGCAUGAACAUAGGCGUUCCUUCAAAUCUACUGGAAACUUAUCUGUUGGAUUUUCAAGGUGCCUCACUUCAAAUAUAUGCUCACCAGACAUCCUAGAAUAGCAAGAUUUUGGUUAAGUUAUGAAACUUGUAUAAAACUUGUAUUAAACAUGUGUAUAUUAUAUGGCAAGCCACAAGUUUGUGUAUGUGCUUGUUUUUUCUUUUUACUUCUAAUAUUGGACAACACUUCAACAUCUGCCAUGUUUUGAAACCUCAUCCUAUUGGUAGCCCAUCUUUCCAUCAUGUCGGUCCUUAUUUCUUCCACCAUGGUUAUCAAUGGCUUGGCCCUAGACUCCAAAAUGACACUAUUAAAAGCUUUAGACAUGUUAUUGAGAACAACAUCACACUUGUUAUGUGUCUUAAAGUAUGACCUACUCCAAAAUCUCCAUGGGCUUCUCAUCAUGUGUUUUUAUGCAUCUAUAUUGACAUCCUCUAUUCCUUUCAUUUCUCUUUCCCAAGUUUGUGAGUAUGUUGGUUUUGUAGCCUUCCAUAUGAUUUCCUUCAACAUGUUACCAGGAAACCUCUUCCUAAAGUUUUUAUAGAUAUAUCUGACACAAAAUCUAUGUUCAACUUUAGGCAGUAACUCAUCCGUUGCAGGAAAUAGUCCCUAUGUCAUUAGAAUUAUGAACACAUAAUUAAAACAUCUGAAUUGUAAACACAUAAUUAGAACAUAAGAAUUGUAAACACAUAAAACAUACCUUUUGUUGUUCAUAAAUAAAAGUGUAUGUGAGGCACUCAUCUCUUCCACCAAGAUCAUCAAUAAGCAACUCCAAGAAUCAUGUCCAUUUAUCCUUAUUUUCACUCUCCACUACUGCAAAUGCUAUUGGUGGCAUUUGAUCAUAGGGAUUUCUACCUAUGGCUUCCAGGAUUUGACCUCCACAAAGAUCUCUCAAAAAACAACCAUCAAGUCCUAUGAAAUGGUUACAUAACUUGAAGUACUCCUUACAAGUUGCAUAACAUAUGUAUAACCUUCUGAAAUAAGGUCUCUUAUCAUCAAUACCUGAUUGAGUAGGUUGAACAUUUAGUUUUACUGUUGACCCUGGGUUUGAUCUUAAUAACUCACGGAAAUAGUCAUAAAUCCUUGUAUAAUCCCCUAGGAAAGAACCAUUAACCAUGUCUCUGGCUGAAAAUCUAGCUAUUAUGGCGUUAGUCUUGUUGACCCCUACAUUCCACUUCUUUUGUGCCUUUUCCUUUAUAUUCUUAAGCUUCAUUCUAUGGUUAUUUUUCAAUGAAUUUUGAAUCCUUUUGCUCAAUUAUUUAGUGUUGAUCAUCUUCACAUUAUACUCUCAACUGCAACUAUAAAUGUCAACUACCUUUCUUAGUUGUUAAGAGUCCUCAUUAGGCAACUUAGCACAAUAAGCUUCCCGCUUAUAUCCAUCUUUACACGUAAGCCUCACCUUUAUCUUGUCAUUUUUAGUGAACUUCAAAUUUCGGCAACAUUGGACUGCAUAUGAGGUUAUUGCUUCCUUAAAAUCACCUUUGGAACUAAAAUACAUUCCCACCUCCCAUUUGUAAUUGGACAUGUCUUUUUGUAACUUGAACAUUGGGUACUUCUUUCCCCUAACUCCACUGUUAUCAUCACUCUUACACCUAUUUUCUAGAUCCCCACUUUCAUUAUCACUCCUUUUAAAUUCUUAUUUGUUUUCUUCCUACUUUAUUUACCUUUUUUGGUGUUCCUCUCUUGAUCAUCUCAUUCACAAAGUCAAUUAGAUUAUCCAUUUCAUCUUCCUCAACCAAUUCAUCGUUAUACUCAUCAGAUUCAUCAUCAAAUGCUACCUCCAUUGCACUAUCAUAAUCGAAGCUCUCAUCCUCACUAUCAUAAGAACUAACAUCAUCAUUCACCUCACCACCAAUUUCCCUUAUAUAAAUUUCCCUUACAUCAUUUUCCCUUACAUCGGUUUCCCUACAUUAGUUUCCCUUACAACAUUUCCCUUACAUCAGUUUCCCUUACAUCAUAUUCCGUUACAUCAGUUUUCUUUAACCCCUCAUUAACUACUUCUUCAUACACUGCAACAAGCACUUCACUCUCAUCUAUAAUGUCCUUUUUCUCUACUACUAUCUGAUCAAGGGUACUAUCAUAAUACUCAGGCUGAGAAAACGUGAUUUGAAUAUAAAUGUCAACACUAAGAUGAACACAUGGUUGGUCCUUUGAAUUUGGGUGCCUUGGGCGAAUUAAAAGAGUUGUGCCCAUAUAAUUUUUUUAAACAAUAAAUACAUAAGGAUAAAAGAAAUAAUUGGAUAAAAAAUACAUUUUCAUUUCACAUUGUGCAAAAACAAUACAAGUAUGGAUAUUUGAAUAAAUGUUUAUACUACAUCAAAACAGAAACCACUAUAAAGAGACUUCUUCUUCUUCUUCUUCUUCUUCUUCUUCUUCUUCUUGAUCUGGUCUUUUUUCCUAUAAAAGAAUUGACCAAACCUUUAAAUUAUUUAAAUAUCACCCUCUUAGCAUUUUUUGUUGCAAAAUCAUUAAUAAUUCGUUCAUAAUCAAGAUUCUUCGAAAAAUUAUUUUCAAUUGAAAUCAAUGUAAGACUAUUUAAUCUAUCUUGUGACAUAAUAGAUCUCAAAUAAGAUUUUAAUAAUUUUAAUUUAUAAAAACUUCUUUCAGUAGAUGCAACACUGAUAGGAAUAAUCAAUAUUGUUCUAUAAGUUAUGCAUGCAUUAGGAAAAUAAUUAAAAGUCUUUAAAGAACUCAAUAUCAUAUAGCUUGAUUUUGAUUCAACUGUUAAAACUUCUCUAAUAACUUUCAAUUCUUCAAACAAAAUUUCACCAUCAAGAUCAAGAGAAUUGUCAUGUUUUAAACAAGUUUCAAGAUGUUUACAAAAUGCUUUCAAGUCCGUAUCAGAUAACGAUAUAAGUAUUUCAAUAUUAAACAAGAAUCCAAUUUUCUUUUCAUAUGUGUUAUACUACUCAAAUCUUCUAUCAAGUAAGCCAAUUUUUUUAUCUACAAUAUAUAAUAAAUAGUGAUUUUGAAAAGACUAUUCAACAGACUCAAGAUUCAAUUGUGUUCAGCUAGUUGAAGUAGUGCUUCUCUUGCAUCUGAAGUUUGAGAUUUAAUUGCAUAUACAUUAUUCACACGACUUUCUCAACGUAUUUGUGACAAUGGUUUAAUAGUUAAAUCUUUUAAACUGUCUCUAAGAAUUUUCCAACAUUUUAUUGAAUGAGAAAAUACAAUAUACAUAUGUUGUAACACUCCAAAAAAAUCUUUAGCUUUAGUACAAGAAUUUGCAAUAUCACAAAGUCUCAAGCUAAGGAUAUAACAACCAGUUAUGUAUAAUGCUCUAGGGUUAACAUUUAAUAAUUUUAUUUGUACACUUUGAUGGUUACCUUUCAUCACAUUAUUAAUAUCUAGACCAAGAUUUUCCAAUAUAUUUUGUAAUUCCUCAAAUAAUUCUUGACCCAUUGUGUCAUAGACUUUAAAAAUUUCUACAAAAAACUCUUCAAUUUUUAUUAGACUCGUAGAAACAUCCACACAACAUAUAAUAAGAGUUAUUUAUCCUUGAUGGCUUUUUCAGGAGUACAAUCAAGAAUCACAGAAAAAUAUUUUGUUUCUUUGAUUUUUUUUACUAUUGCAUUUUUUAUUUCAUUACCUAACAUGUUAAUCAAUUAAUUUUGAAUCUUAUGACUAAGAUAAUGACAAUGAAUGUCAUUAUUCUUAGUACGUUCAAAAUGUUUUUACAUGACAGGAUCUCAUUUAACAAUCAUUUUAACAAGAGAAAGAAAGUUUCCAUCUUUUCCAUAUUAAUUCUCUUGUUUUUUUCUACAAAAUGCUAAAUUAUGUUCAACUAGAUAUUUAGUAACACAAACUAUCCUAAGUAAGACAUCCUUCCAAUUCCAUUUUUCCUUUCUUAUAAGCUCUUGAAGAUGUUUAUCAAUUAUUAUAUUUUUAUUAAAUCUAAUUUGUAAGUCAAUCCAAUUACUCAUGAAAGACAUGUGUGCACCACUUGGUUCGUGUUCUUUAACUCCUUUAUAAACAUGUUUCCAAUCAUUAAAACCUUCAUUUGUCAAGCGAUUUAUUUUAUAACUUACAGCAAAAACAAACAACUUUAUUCAAUUCUUUUAAAUAAACCAGCCAAUUUAUAUCUUGUUAUUCUCUAUUGGAAUAAUAACGGAUAUAAUAUGAUGAUGAGAAAUUCCUGCCAGAAGUAUCUUUAGGACCAUUCACAAUUAACACAUCUCUUUCAUGAUCAUUUCUUAGUAAUUUAUCUCUUAAAUUAUUGCUAAGGUAAUUAUGUGUUAUUGGAUCAUAAGUGUCCAAUAGAAUAGACUCGUUAGGUUGUUCACCAACAAAAACAGGGAUAUGUUCAUUUUCAUUAUUAUAACUUUUAUCAUCAAAAUUUUGAGCUUCAUCAUCAUCUUAAUUUUCAUUAUUUUCAACCAAAAUAUUUGUUCUUCAAUAAUCCUAUUUAGUUACCCAUUCUCUAAACUCUAUGUUUCAAGGUUCAAAUUACCUAGAUUUGCAUCAUUUGAAAUAUAAAUUGUAGGAUGUUUUCCAAAAAAAUUAUGAAUAUCACCCUUUUGAGAUUUAUUAUCAAUUUCAAUUAGUUUCUUUCUUUUUUAUUUUAGAUGAUGAAACAAUAGCAUAUGAUGUCGAUUUUUAACCUUCAACUUAAAUUUUGAUCAAUUUGUUCCAAAAGUCUUUAAGCACUAAAUCAAACUUGAUCCUAAAAAGUGAAAAUCAACAUGAAAAUUAGCAUCUUAUGAAAGAAGUUAUUUUAUUUUUGACUAUAUAUAUAUAUUAUAUAUGUAUAUAUACUUUUCUAAUUUUCUUGUUUAAUUAAUAGUCGACACUUAUGCUUUUCUUGAGAGAUAGAGAGAUUAUAAACUAGGGUAAAGUUAUGUCACUUUUGAAUCUUAUUCUCUAUUCUCUAUAUCAUUAUUUUAAUUUUAGUGCCCUAAUUAGACUCUUUAGUUGCUAAAAUUAUGGACAUUAAUUGAUUUUAUUUUAGGGGAAUUAAUUUAUUUUAUUCUACUCAAUAUUUUAUUUAGGGGAAAUUACAUUAAUUUAUUAAUUUUGACUUUGUAGUGCCCCUAUAAUUUUGUUAGCAAGUAUUUUUCAAAAAAAAAAAAUUCUAGUAAGUAUUUUCAUAAUAGAACAUUAUCUUUUAAUCCCGCUUUAUUAGCCAAUAACUUGGGCUACAUGGCUUAUGCUUAUGAGUAUUACUUGCCUAAAGACUUGGAGAACCAAGCCCGGUUCGCAAACUCGGGUGCCUCCCACCAUCUAACCUUUAAUCCCUCUUUCUUGCAUUCUAAGAAAACACAAAAUGGCUUGAGUCAUGUUAGUGUAGCAAACAGUCAAUCCUUACCAAUUCAACAUAUAUGAUUUGCUAAUGUUGAUGUGCCUUCUUGUUCUUCAUUUUGUAUGACUCUUAAUCAUAUCCUUCUCGUACCUUACAUCACACAUAAUUUAUUGUCAGUAUCCAAGUUUUCCAAUGAUAACAAAGUCAUAUUUGAAUUCUCUACUGACAAGUGUUUUUAUAAAAUCACAGGUUUCUAGAGCCAUAUUACUUGAAGGCUUUCUAGAUUCAUAUGGACUUUAUUAUUUUCCUCACCUGAUAGAGCCUUCAAGAUCUCCAUACCCCCUUGCUGCAAGCUUAACUCAUUUGUUUCCUAGUGUUAAUUCAUUUUCUUACUUUGUUACUUCUGAUUUAAGUAAACAUGUUACUAGCCUUCUAUGGCAUUAUAGGCUAGGUCACUCAAAUUUUCAAUCCAUUCAAAUGGCUCCUAAACAUUUUAAUAUAUCAAUUGUCAAUAAAACUUGUUCCUUAAUUUGCAAGUCAUGUUGCAUACUAGCCUGUGGGGACAUGCACUUUUUCCUUCUACCUUAGGAUAUCUUUACUAUGUUACCUUUGUCGAUGCAUUCACUAAGUUCACUUAGAUAUAUUUUCUAAAGCACGAAUCUAAAGCACUUCAUGCAUUCAAGUUAUAUGCAAGUUUUAUGCACACUCAAUUUUACACCAUAAUCAAGGCGGUGCAAUCUGAUUAUAUGGGAGAGUACAAGCCCUUCACCAAAUAUCUAAAUGAACUAGGCAUUCAACAUAGACUUACUUGCCCUUAUUCAUCUAAUCAAAAUAGCAAUGUAGAAAGAAGGCACAUGCACAUUGUUGAAAUAUGCCUCACUUUGCUUUCAUAUGCUUUCUUGCCCCUUCAACUUUGGGAUUAUAGUUUUACAUCAGUUGUACAUAUGAUCAAUAAGCUACCUUCAAUUGGUGCUUCAAAGUUUCAGUCACCAUACCAUGCUUUGUAUCACAAACUUCCCAAGUAUGACUCACUCAAGGUGUUUAGUUGCACCUGUUUCCCUCACGCCAGACCCUACAACAAGCACAAGCUUGACUUUACAAGCCAAGAAUAUGUGUUACUUGGCACAUCUUCUCAACACAAAAGGUACAAGUGCUUAAGCAAAAGUGGCAAAAUUUACAUUUCCAAGUAUGUCAUAAUUCAUGAGGACUUAUUCCCUUAUGUCUCCAUGUUUCCGUCCAAGCAUAAUGCUCCUGCUACUCAGUCAAGCUGUAAGAACAAAAAUUGUUCUACAACAGAUUCCUUGAUUUUGAUGAUAACAAAGGAUGAAACCAAAAAUGGCACCCUAACAAAAAGUUUCUAAGUGUGCAGGAUUCUAAAGAAAGAAGGAAGAACAAGAGAUAUUCCCACUGCGCAGCCUCUUAACUCCCUGAUACAUCAAUGCAGAUCAGAAGUGCAUUUCUGUAUGCAUCAGAAGGGUGUGAAUAUCUGCUUCCUGACUUCUCUUCAGAUAUCUCAGAGAUUCUGUAAGGGAAACCAGAAAACAACAUGAAGCCCAGAUCCAUAACAUCCCCUCUGGGAAGGCUCAUAUCUGAUGUCUCAUUGAGAAAUGGGUUGGUAGAAUCAAUCUGGAGAAAGCCAAGCCUGAUGCAAGAUCUGGCAAUAGAUACUGGGAAGCCUCUGAACGCCAGGAAAUCUCAAGAGUAAUGGGAAUAAUAAAGAAGAUUUCAAAGUCAGACCACGCUGGACACAAUCCUGGGAUUCCUUUGAAAAAUCAGAGGAAGCUGCCUCAUGGUCUUGUAGGUUCUACAAGAAGAACUCAGAGAAUGCGGUUGCUAUCUACUUAAUCUCUGCUGGAGAAGGUGUUCAUCUCUGACUUCAGGCCUCGACGAUUGGUCUAGACUCAGAAGAAGACUUCGUCCAGAUACAAGAGAGGGCUCUCAUUGAGAAGAAGAUAACAUCACAGGCAAAGAAGGCAAGACUUGGAAGAAUCCUCUGGAAGCAGAUCUCCCACUCCUCUGCAAAUUUCUAACUGGUACGUCUGUUCCUCAUCUUUCCCUCUGAAACCUCUGAUGGUUUCCUCUACNNNNNNNNNNNNNNNNNNNNNNNNNNNNNNNNNNNNNNNNNNNNNNNNNNNNNNNNNNNNNNNNNNNNNNNNNNNNNNNNNNNNNNNNNNNNNNNNNNNNNNNNNNNNNNNNNNNNNNNNNNNNNNNNNNNNNNNNNNNNNNNNNNNNNNNNNNNNNNNNNNNNNNNNNNNNNNNNNNNNNNNNNNNNNNNNNNNNNNNNNNNNNNNNNNNNNNNNNNNNNNNNNNNNNNNNNNNNNNNNNNNNNNNNNNNNNNNNNNNNNNNNNNNNNNNNNNNNNNNNNNNNNNNNNNNNNNNNNNNNNNNNNNNNNNNNNNNNNNNNNNNNNNNNNNNNNNNNNNNNNNNNNNNNNNNNNNNNNNNNNNNNNNNNNNNNNNNNNNNNNNNNNNNNNNNNNNNNNNNNNNNNNNNNNNNNNNNNNNNNNNNNNNNNNNNNNNNNNNNNNNNNNNNNNNNNNNNNNNNNNNNNNNNNNNNNNNNNNNNNNNNNNNNNNNNNNNNNNNNNNNNNNNNNNNNNNNNNNNNNNNNNNNNNNNNNNNNNNNNNNNNNNNNNNNNNNNNNNNNNNNNNNNNNNNNNNNNNNNNNNNNNNNNNNNNNNNNNNNNNNNNNNNNNNNNNNNNNNNNNNNNNNNNNNNNNNNNNNNNNNNNNNNNNNNNNNNNNNNNNNNNNNNNNNNNNNNNNNNNNNNNNNNNNNNNNNNNNNNNNNNNNNNNNNNNNNNNNNNNNNNNNNNNNNNNNNNNNNNNNNNNNNNNNNNNNNNNNNNNNNNNNNNNNNNNNNNNNNNNNNNNNNNNNNNNNNNNNNNNNNNNNNNNNNNNNNNNNNNNNNNNNNNNNNNNNNNNNNNNNNNNNNNNNNNNNNNNNNNNNNNNNNNNNNNNNNNNNNNNNNNNNNNNNNNNNNNNNNNNNNNNNNNNNNNNNNNNNNNNNNNNNNNNNNNNNNNNNNNNNNNNNNNNNNNNNNNNNNNNNNNNNNNNNNNNNNNNNNNNNNNNNNNNNNNNNNNNNNNNNNNNNNNNNNNNNNNNNNNNNNNNNNNNNNNNNNNNNNNNNNNNNNNNNNNNNNNNNNNNNNNNNNNNNNNNNNNNNNNNNNNNNNNNNNNNNNNNNNNNNNNNNNNNNNNNNNNNNNNNNNNNNNNNNNNNNNNNNNNNNNNNNNNNNNNNNNNNNNNNNNNNNNNNNNNNNNNNNNNNNNNNNNNNNNNNNNNNNNNNNNNNNNNNNNNNNNNNNNNNNNNNNNNNNNNNNNNNNNNNNNNNNNNNNNNNNNNNNNNNNNNNNNNNNNNNNNNNNNNNNNNNNNNNNNNNNNNNNNNNNNNNNNNNNNNNNNNNNNNNNNNNNNNNNNNNNNNNNNNNNNNNNNNNNNNNNNNNNNNNNNNNNNNNNNNNNNNNNNNNNNNNNNNNNNNNNNNNNNNNNNNNNNNNNNNNNNNNNNNNNNNNNNNNNNNNNNNNNNNNNNNNNNNNNNNNNNNNNNNNNNNNNNNNNNNNNNNNNNNNNNNNNNNNNNNNNNNNNNNNNNNNNNNNNNNNNNNNNNNNNNNNNNNNNNNNNNNNNNNNNNNNNNNNNNNNNNNNNNNNNNNNNNNNNNNNNNNNNNNNNNNNNNNNNNNNNNNNNNNNNNNNNNNNNNNNNNNNNNNNNNNNNNNNNNNNNNNNNNNNNNNNNNNNNNNNNNNNNNNNNNNNNNNNNNNNNNNNNNNNNNNNNNNNNNNNNNNNNNNNNNNNNNNNNNNNNNNNNNNNNNNNNNNNNNNNNNNNNNNNNNNNNNNNNNNNNNNNNNNNNNNNNNNNNNNNNNNNNNNNNNNNNNNNNNNNNNNNNNNNNNNNNNNNNNNNNNNNNNNNNNNNNNNNNNNNNNNNNNNNNNNNNNNNNNNNNNNNNNNNNNNNNNNNNNNNNNNNNNNNNNNNNNNNNNNNNNNNNNNNNNNNNNNNNNNNNNNNNNNNNNNNNNNNNNNNNNNNNNNNNNNNNNNNNNNNNNNNNNNNNNNNNNNNNNNNNNNNNNNNNNNNNNNNNNNNNNNNNNNNNNNNNNNNNNNNNNNNNNNNNNNNNNNNNNNNNNNNNNNNNNNNNNNNNNNNNNNNNNNNNNNNNNNNNNNNNNNNNNNNNNNNNNNNNNNNNNNNNNNNNNNNNNNNNNNNNNNNNNNNNNNNNNNNNNNNNNNNNNNNNNNNNNNNNNNNNNNNNNNNNNNNNNNNNNNNNNNNNNNNNNNNNNNNNNNNNNNNNNNNNNNNNNNNNNNNNNNNNNNNNNNNNNNNNNNNNNNNNNNNNNNNNNNNNNNNNNNNNNNNNNNNNNNNNNNNNNNNNNNNNNNNNNNNNNNNNNNNNNNNNNNNNNNNNNNNNNNNNNNNNNNNNNNNNNNNNNNNNNNNNNNNNNNNNNNNNNNNNNNNNNNNNNNNNNNNNNNNNNNNNNNNNNNNNNNNNNNNNNNNNNNNNNNNNNNNNNNNNNNNNNNNNNNNNNNNNNNNNNNNNNNNNNNNNNNNNNNNNNNNNNNNNNNNNNNNNNNNNNNNNNNNNNNNNNNNNNNNNNNNNNNNNNNNNNNNNNNNNNNNNNNNNNNNNNNNNNNNNNNNNNNNNNNNNNNNNNNNNNNNNNNNNNNNNNNNNNNNNNNNNNNNNNNNNNNNNNNNNNNNNNNNNNNNNNNNNNNNNNNNNNNNNNNNNNNNNNNNNNNNNNNNNNNNNNNNNNNNNNNNNNNNNNNNNNNNNNNNNNNNNNNNNNNNNNNNNNNNNNNNNNNNNNNNNNNNNNNNNNNNNNNNNNNNNNNNNNNNNNNNNNNNNNNNNNNNNNNNNNNNNNNNNNNNNNNNNNNNNNNNNNNNNNNNNNNNNNNNNNNNNNNNNNNNNNNNNNNNNNNNNNNNNNNNNNNNNNNNNNNNNNNNNNNNNNNNNNNNNNNNNNNNNNNNNNNNNNNNNNNNNNNNNNNNNNNNNNNNNNNNNNNNNNNNNNNNNNNNNNNNNNNNNNNNNNNNNNNNNNNNNNNNNNNNNNNNNNNNNNNNNNNNNNNNNNNNNNNNNNNNNNNNNNNNNNNNNNNNNNNNNNNNNNNNNNNNNNNNNNNNNNNNNNNNNNNNNNNNNNNNNNNNNNNNNNNNNNNNNNNNNNNNNNNNNNNNNNNNNNNNNNNNNNNNNNNNNNNNNNNNNNNNNNNNNNNNNNNNNNNNNNNNNNNNNNNNNNNNNNNNNNNNNNNNNNNNNNNNNNNNNNNNNNNNNNNNNNNNNNNNNNNNNNNNNNNNNNNNNNNNNNNNNNNNNNNNNNNNNNNNNNNNNNNNNNNNNNNNNNNNNNNNNNNNNNNNNNNNNNNNNNNNNNNNNNNNNNNNNNNNNNNNNNNNNNNNNNNNNNNNNNNNNNNNNNNNNNNNNNNNNNNNNNNNNNNNNNUCUGAUGAGUCUGUUUCGUUUUUCGUGUUCAGAUACAGAACCAGAUCAGAUACAAAUAUCAAUGAUCAGAAGCAUCUGAAGUGCAAACACGUUCAAGCAAGUCAAACUCUGAGCAAAACAUCAAGUAUCAAAGACUCUGAACAGAAGUAAGCUCUAGAAGUUCUGACUCUGAUCAACGCUAUCUCAAACUCCAGAACUUAAGCGCUAUCUGAUGAUCUAUCAGAAUCCAAAGAGAUCAACAUUCAGCAAGCAAGACCCAAGACUCUCAGAUAUCACGAAGAUUGAUCAUAAAAUGCUAAUAUGAAAGAGUACGUGAAGUUCAAGUAAAGAUUUGCAAAUGGAUUUCCUAAAACAGAAAGAGACUUAAUCUCCAAUUUCAAUAAAGGAAGAUUACUAUAUGUGGUAAGUAGUCAUUUCAAGGAGAGAAAGUUAUCCUGCAGAAGCAUUUAAGUGAUGCGUAAAUCUCUUUAUUACUCAUCAGUUUCAACUACUACCUCACUGAUCUAUAUAAGGACUGCAAAUCAACAUUCAAUAUAGAAAAUACAAGGAAAAUUAUACUGAAACAUCAACGCUCAAGAAAACACUCUUGCUCUCUAAAUUCACCGAAGGUGUGCUUAUAACGUGAAUCACUUUGCUCUUACUAUUGUAAUAUUUGCUUUCUUAGAAGCACUUUAGAUUACAUAAAUCUUUUAUCUAUUGUUUAUUAUUUCUCAAGUGACUUGUGUGUAGUCUGUAUACUUGAGAGGACUAAGAGAUCUUUCUCUUAGACGUUGUUUGUAAUCUUUCAAGAUUAGUGGAUUAAGUCCUUGUUGAAGGCGAAAUCACCUUGGCCGGCGGUGGAUGAGUACUUUGUGUUAGUAAGCGAACAGUAUAUAAAUCAUUGUGUGGUUUCAUUUUUGAAAAGAGCUUAUUUCUAAACAAUUCAACCCCCCCAUUUCUUGUUUCUCACUUCAACUGUAUCAGAGGCUCCGCGCUCUGUUAAUUGUAUUGUCUAAUCACACUUAACAGUGUAGUAGAGCAUCCCAGUACGAGAAAAACUUAGGCCCACUCAAAUGAAAAAGAUGGUACAAUGCUAGCCUCAUGUUGAUGGAGAGAAGGUUGACUACUGGAAAGAUAGAAGUUAAAGUUCUCUGGGUUAGAUGCUGAACUUCUGGGACAGUUGCACAGAUGGAUACAAACUCGCACAAGGGAUGGAGCUGAGUUCCAAAGUAAGAUGUCAGAUGAUCAAAAGAGUGUUAAGAAUCAUCACAAGGCCAGAACAAUAUCUCUCUAGAAUAAGCAACUACAACUGAGUAUGAAAAGAUGCACAAUAGAGAAACACCAAAUGACAUACUUGACUUUUGAGGAUGACAUGAAGGAAACCCAAGUCAAAGAGACAAAGGCUCUGCGGCGCUAUCAAAAUUGAACUUCAAAUGAGAAUGAAUGAGAAGCCAUAGAGCACGAAUGUUCUUCUAGAUUCCAAACUCUGAUUGCAGGUACUAAGGUCUACGACAAAGGAACACAACUGCAACCACUGUCAAAACGAUAGUCAGGAACGUUUGGCCAGAGAAAUGAGCACCUAUGGUUACUGCUACUGAAGCUGGUAAGGAUUGAACAAUAUUAGCUUGAAGAAACUUGGUCAGUUCCUGUCAGAAGCCAUGAAUAGAACUAGAGAAGAUGAGACUCAGAAACGGAAAAAGUUGUAGCAUUGAGUCCGACCUGAAAAACCAAACCUAGAACCAACAGCUCUCAGGUCAGAAACUGAAGAUAUGCAUACUCACUAGAAGAUUCGAUAUAAGAGAAUAAUCCCACUACCCGAAAGUUAAGCAACUCGGAAAAAGAGGACAACAACUGCGAAGACCAAGACCCGGAGGGAUCGAUCAAAACAACUUCAAAAGGUAAAUUAACAAAGAUAUUACCUGUUAUGAAUGUAAAGAAACAGGUGCAUUACAGAAGCAUGCCCCAAGUCUAAAGAAAGACAAGUCUAAAAUAAAAGCUCAAGAAAAAUACCUUCAGGACAAAAGAAAGAUGAUGGCUACCUGGAUGAUGGUGAAUCUGGCAUCAUCAAGAAUCUGAGCUCUGAUGAACAUGCCAAUGUGGCAGCUUGUAGCUACCACAUCCAGGAGUAGCUCAGACGAAGAAUCUGAUAGAAGUUCUGGGUACCAAAGAUAGAUUGUUAUGUGGCAGAUAUCCUAUGCAGCAAAGUUCAGAACACCCCUCUACCCCUUCCUCUAAUCCUCUCCCAACACCACCCAUUUAUACAACCUCUGAAAUCCCACCUUCAACCACCAGAACCUCACAACCUUCACCAAUUUUAAAUAUCGCCCGUACAUUCAUACCUCCCUCUGAACCUGAACAAAUGAACCAAAGCACUUCCUCUUCAUCAUCUUCAGAACCAGAAUCACCACCAUACCUUUCUAUCUCCUCUGACCAAGAAUACUCUGACCCUGACUCCCCAACCUUAGCUCAAAUUCAGGCUCAAAACCUUGCUUCACAACAAACACAAACACAUUCUGAAGCAACUUCACCUCCACCAGAACAAACAGCAAACAUUACUUCUGAAGACCAACCCUCUGAAACUCAACCCUCUGACAUCCACACCUCUGAUAUCGUCCCUCCAAACAUCUCCGCUGAAUCUGAACCAUUAGACUUAAACCCUCUUUACGCUUCACCCCAAAGAUCUGAACCUCAACCUGAAUCAGAAACUGAACCAGAACCUCUAACUCUAAAUCUCAGCCUUCCAACAUCUCCACCUCAUACCUCUGAACCUGACCUUUCUAUACCUACCCUUGAGGAAGCCAUCAUGCUGGUCGCAGGGGCUUCAGUACAAAAGGUCAAGUCUCUGACCACUAACUCUGAAGUCAGUGAAUUCAAACAAGGACUUAAUCCACUAAUCUUGAAAGAUUACAAACAACGUCUAAGAGAAAGAUCUCUUAGUCCUCUCAGUAUACAGACUACACAAAGUCACUUGAGGAAAUAAACAAACAGAUAAAAGAUUUAUGUAAUCUAAAGUGCUUCUAAGAAAGCAAAUAUUACAAUAGUAAGAGCAAAGUGAUUCACGUUAUAAGCAACAGCUUCGUGAAGAUUUAGAGAGCAAGAGUGUUUUCUGAGCGUUGAUGUUUCAGUAUAAUUUUCCUUGUAUAUGUUCUAUAUUGAAUGUUGAUUUGCAGUCCUUUAUAUAGAUCAGUGAGUAGUAGUUGAAACUGAUGAGUAAUAAGAUGAAUUUACGCCAUCACUUAAAUAGCUUCUUGCAGGAUAACUUUCUCUCCUUGAAAUCGACACUUACCACAUAUAGUAUCUUCUUUAUUGAAUUGGAGAUUAACGUCUCUUUCUGUUUUAGGAAAUCCAUUUGCAAAUCUUUACUUGACUUCACGUUACUCUUUCAUAAUUAGCAAUUUUAUGAUCAAAGUCUUCGUGUAACUGAGAGUCUUGGAGUCUUGCUUCUGAUGUUGAUCUCUUUGGAUUCUGAUGGAUUCUUCAGAUAGCGCUGAUAAGUUCUGGAGUUUAGAGAUAGCGUUGAUCAGAGUCAGAACUUCUAGAGCUUACUUCUUGUUCAGAUGCUUCUGAUACUUUGCUGUUUUGCUCAGAGUUUGACUUCUUGAACGUGUUUGCACUUCAGAUGCUUCUGAUCAUUGAUAAUUUGUAUCUGAUCUGGUCUGUAUCUGAUGACAUCAUCAGAUUUCUUCCUUCUUUCUUAGAAUCCUGCACACUUAGAAACUUUUUUGUAGGGUGCCAUUUUGUGGUCAUCCUUUGUUAUCAUCAAAAUCAAGGAAUCUGUGCUAGACACCACAUCGCUCUAUUCUAUGGAAAAUUAAAGCUGUUCGCUUUGACAACCACUCAUCCUCCGGUAUCCAAUACUUUUGGAUGAAUGGCGAGUCAUAUAAAAUUCAGAUCAAUAUGAGUGUAGCAGAUGAGAAUCGCGAGAUGAAUAAUAUGAGUGACCAGACUACUUAUUGCAUCAUAUCAGGAAAGCACUCGAGUGAUCGCACGCCUCGUAGAUAGUCCAUCCUUAUGAUGAAUCCCGAGAUAUUUGGUUUUAUUAAAAGAUAAUUAAUCCUAUGUCAUGGCAAAUAUGUGAGACAAGCAUGAUGUCCUUAAUACGUUACAGUACAAAUUGGAUGUCCAUAUGAAUGCUCCGCAACUGUCUGAAAUGUAUGAAUCGAUCUCGUCGUAUAGUGUUAAGACAAGAGCGAACGUCGCUUCUCUCGACUUAUGAUUAUAUCCAAAAGAUUUAGAAUUAACUUGGAGAUUUAGAAGCGUGGUAUUAUUAGUGACGAAAUAGAAAUAUUUCAAAGUAUUAUGGUGCGUUAUAUAAGCUCUCUCUCACUCGCGCCCUAUCUAGGAUCUCGAUGAAUCCAAAUAAUGGGUAGACAUAAGCCAUAUAAAAAAUAAAAACAAUUACCAAUGAUUCGAAUACUUUGGAGAAAUAGAUAAGAGCGAAACUAGCUUCAAGCUCCAGCUCAUCCCAAUAUAUCAGUUAACUAUAAAAGAUCUGAGCGAAAAAACUUUAGAAGUAAAUAUAAGAAUGUGAAUUCAGGAGAUAGCAGCAAAUUGUACAAAGCUAAGCAGCAAGAGCACAAAAAAAAUAUAUCCUAAGUGCCUCUGAGGGUUGGAUACGAUUGUCCGGAGGCAGGCGCAUAUACAUCUCAGAAAGCAACACUUUAACAGCAAAGCAAUGGCUGUGGACAUAAGUGGCUUGGACUGAAAUUGAACAAGUUGGUCAUUGGCUUUUAUCUCCAUAAGUGCUUUACCCAUGUUACUGAGAUCAUGAAGUCUAACAAUUAAUUACUAUGAAUCUGUGCUAAUUCUUCAAGAUUAUUGUAUCUGUGAUAUACACUCAAUUAGAAAUUAUAGAAUGGGUCCGAGUCAAACAGUGUAUAUUAGCUACAUUCAACCCUUGAGUCAAGAGUCGCUUACUACUAAUAGUCAUUAUCUAAGAGCCUUCAACUAAGUCCAACUAAUUGUAUAGUCUUUACAGCUUCAAUCAAAUAAUUAAGUAACGAAAACUAAUUAAUUAGUAAUUAAUUAAUUUCGUUCAAAAUUUAAUUAAUUAAUUUAAUUGUAAUUAACCCAGAACAAAAAGAGAGCAGCUUGCUUCUGCAAUAAUCGGACCAGAGCCUAGCUUCUAUCGCCUACCUUAUUUAGAACACUUCUCGGAGUUGCGACGCUCUCCACCAUUGCUCUCUGUCGUUCUUCCAGUGCUAAUCAUAAGUCGCACUUACAUUCUUUGCACACUCUCCUAAUCUGUGCAUUUUAGAGCUCUAACAUCCUCUAACCUGCUCAGCCUUCUGGCUUCAGAGUAUGGAGCCCUUAUAUUCUAUUAAUUUUGUUGGAACUGCUGGCGUCGUAACGACAUAUAAAGUCGAAUCCAUUAAUUUGAGAAUUCCGAUAAACGUAAUAAAAUAAAAUAGAACAUCUCAACAUAUUACAAUACUCGUGCGACAUUAUAUAAUCAUUAAAAGAAAUAUUAAUGAAUUAUCAGAUCUUAUCAUAAAAGGAACCAACCACGCGCCCUUGGUCUGCCAACUACAAGAUAACCAGAUGGGCCUGAAUCAAAUAAACCAAUUAGCCACUCAAUAAAAAAUAAAUAAAAAACAAAUACUGUAAUAAUUUAAAAGAAAUAUUUAAAAGCGAUGAUAAUAGAAAAACACCAGUUAAGGCAGAAGAUCAUACGUACUACACACAUGGCCCACCAACUAAGGCUACCCCUUUAGAAACAGCAACACCAACUUAAACAUGAGCCAAAAAAACGCUGCUCAUUCCUUCCAAAAUGGAACUCAGAUCAUUCAUCAUAUCAACAUUUUUUCAAUAAUUCACAACUCUAAGUUACAAAACAUAUCCAUACAAGAGACAGCUCUAAUGAAACAAUAACUAAAGCGUCGCUGUUAAUGUAUCCUGAUGCGUCCGAUUGACGGACAUAACACAACCAAUAACAUAUCUCAUGUAACACACAGAUAAAAUCCAACAUGAAAUGCAACGUAAAUUCCAAAUCGCGAGCAAACACAGCCAUCCAUGAAUCACAUAUUCAUUACACUUAGUGAUUAGAAAAAAUAUCCAGCAAGGUUGAAAAUAAGCAACAACAACCAGAUAGUGCACCACUGAAGAUUGAAGUAUUACCGAUUUAGCAGGAAAUUGGAUCGGAGUACUCUUUGGUGCCUCACUGAGUUGGACUUGGAUCUUAAGGACCGCAAUGCGAUGUCCUCUAUUAUCUUUCUCCGUUUCCCACGUGGCCAAGAUGUUUUCAUUCAACAAACAGUUGGUCGGUACGGUUCAUGAUUUUCUGAUGACGAUAAUCGCACCUUCCUGUUUGUGGCUCGACGACCUCGUGGUGGUUGAUAUCACCGGCGGGUAUGUUAGGUUGGGUCGUCGUCGGCGGAAUGGAUUUCGGCUGGCGAUGAAGAAGUUCACGUGGAAGGUUGUGUGAAUCAGAGAUUGGUGAGUUGGAGGAGAACGUUUUGGUGGUUUUGUGGUGUCUCGGUGGUUUUGAGUGUAGACGACAGUUCGUUGUCGGCGGUGGAGUUUCGCGCCGGUGGUUGUGGUGAGCGGAGUUGAUGGGUUUGUUGGAGGAUAGGUGCAAGGUAGUGCGGAUGGAGGUUGACGCCGGGUUUUUGCCGUUGUUACUAGGCGUGCGUGAUUGUAGUAUCUAGCGGCAGAGGAGGCGAAGGGUUCGUAUGGUGAAGUGGGAUUUUCCGUUGGGGCUUUGAAGUAAGCAUUGGUGCGGUAGACGAAAUUGGAUUUUUGCGUGGUUGGCUUUUGCGUCGGCAGAAAGAGCGAAGCAGAAAGGAGUCACCGAUGGCGUAGUGGAGCCGCUUAUCGUGUGCGUGAAGUUGUCGAGAAGACUCCUCUGUUUCUUUUCUUUUAUUUUGUUAUUUUUCCUGCAGAGAGUGAGUCUGUCAGGUGAAGAGGAUGUCCAUUGUGGCUCUCGAAAUAGAGCAACAGGAGAGGAAAGUUUAGUCGUUUUGCUUUUUCUCUUUCUUCAUCGAGCCUUUUUUCUUUUCCUCUUUUUUUAGAGAAGGUGAGAGCGGCACGUUUUGUUCCUUUUGGUUCUCUCCUCCCCUCUUGUAACCUGUUAGCAUUCCCUUCUAGCCUGUAAUAGAUUUUGUCUAUAAUUAAAAUAUUCAUUAGCUAACAUGUGGAUAUUCUCAGUAGGAAUAAUCCUAUGUGCCACGGUGUCAUCGAAACAUUAAAGCUCAAUUAUUACCUUCACUUAUUUAUUAUUUUCUUGAUUUUUCUUGCUUAAUAAUUCAAAAUAAUUAUUAUUUAUUGUGUGAUAACAAAUAAUUCUGGGAUUAAUGCAAGUGAUAUCUUUGAUUAAAUCAAAAUCGUCGCGUCCAGAUUAGAGAUCGAAGAAGCACCACUUAAAUUAAAACAUGGCAAAAUUACCCUUUCUAGAUGAUUUAAUUUAUUUUUAAAAUAUUAAACCAAUAAUAUCAUAAUAACAAUUGACAACUUCCUUAAUGUUAAUUGUGUAUAAAAUAAACUAAGGACAUGGAAAAAUUCGAUUUAUUUAAUCUGAAUAUUUUAGCGAAUGAAUAAAAAAUAAAAUGAAUAAAUUCGGCGAAAAUUUGACUCGAAAAAUUUAAAAUCGGACGCACCAAAAUGAUCAGCAUAAAAAUAUACUUAUUCAAAAAAUACAACGUCUUCUUAAUUUUCUUUAAAAAUUUUUCAUCGGUUAAAAAGCUCAGACGGAUUAAAUGAAGCUGUAAAAGUCAUUAAAAUAUAACCAAGCCACACCAGACUGAACUACGUGAAACGUAGAUAAAUAAUACUGGCGGUCUGCAAGUUUAAUUUUCGAAACUUUUACCAAUGGUUUUGCGCUUGUUUUGAGAAAAUGAUUUAACAAUUGUCUGUAUUUUAAAUAUUAUAUUCCGACUUUGCACUAUAUUCAGGUAUUAUUCAUUGAUGAAAUGGCUUGUCAUGUUUACAUAUGAUGCGGUUAGAGAAAUGAAAUCAAGUUUUAUGAAAUUUAAAAAAUGCUCUGGAGAAAUUGGGGUAUGGACACAAACUCACAAAAGCCUAUAAUUGACCAACAAUUUUUACCUAAAUACAUUCAGAGUUACGAUAUACCUAUAACAACGGUGUUAGGACUGUAAUAAGGAGUUUCGAUGAUUUAAUAAUCUUAGUCGCCCAAAAUAAAACUAUUAUAUCACAUAUGGAAUUACAACAUGCCGCGUAAUAAUCGGUUCAUCGAGCGUAAUUCUCAAACAAUCAUUUUUUUUAAAAUUUCCCCCACUUAUUAGUGGUGGGUCCCAUAAAAUAACCACCCACUUAACUCCAUAUCCUCACAAUUUCUCUCGCCAUAAAUUGAGUUUUCAUCCACUUUCUAUCUCCCAUUAUCUUACUACACUCCUCGAAAAACCUAAUCAUCUUCUCCAACUCUCACUAUAAACCCUCAUCACUAAACUACCAUACCAAACCUUUCAAAAACUUCACACAUCACAAUUAAAUAACAUUAAAAUAGCCCUAUAUUUCCAUCACCUUUCAUUCAACUACAAAACCAUAAAAAACCUCAAGUAUCCCCAAAUCCUAAAACAUGCAAACCUCUCUUAAUUAUAUUUCUCUUUAAGCAACAGUGACACCAACCUCUGAAGCACCUUUAUGACACGCCAAUAGCCCCCUUAAGAAUGUGACAAGCGAUGCUGGAACAUCCCACAGACGCUCUAGGAUUCCCCCUUCCCUUGGGACACAUCAGGAGGCAUUUAAGGAUAAAGAGAUGGACCAUCUAGAAUGGAAAAACCCAUACGGGAUAACCUUAAGAGACUUAUAUCAACAACACGUCUUCGACGCUAAGGUUUGUUGGGGAAUAAAUUCUCCAUAGGUAUAUUCACGCAGCCCUACCUUAGAAUCUCUUGCGUUCUUUAGCUAAUGUUAGUGGAUGUUUUUGACCCAAAUUGGGUAGAGGACACUUUUUGUCUCUUAAAAACCCCAUGUACGCUAAGACUAGUCUAGAAUUACCUCAGCUCUCGUUAAGCGUGAAAUUAAGAGUAAAUUAGCGAGGACACUAUGGUGUGUUGUGUUAAAGAUGUUUAAUGAAGAGCCAUUACUACGAUAAAACACAUAUAACUCGUUGGAUGAGGUUGAUAAAUCUUAGUUUGAUAUGUGAAGAACUCGGUAACGAAAGACGUCAUAAGAAGUAGUACUACAUACCUCCUUGUUUCUGCGUAUUACACAAAAGGGGAAAGAAUGUACAUGGUCAUGCGUUCAAUCCCGUUAGCGAUAAUAUUUUUGGAUUUUUUUUAAAUGUGAGAAUAAACACAUUUCCUCUCGGUUUUUAACAUUUAGCCGAAGAUUACAACCACCAUUUGAGUUUAUUAUUUUAAUAGUAGUUGCUUAUUUCACAAAGCCUUUAACGAACAUCUGACUUUCAAAUUGGAUGACAAAAUAAUUAUAUGUAACAAUUAUAUCUUAUUUGAAGAAACAACUUACAUUAAUCAAUUAUGUUCGAGCAUUUAUACCUCAUGUUCAUCUCUCAUUCUUUAAUGCGUUCGAAAUCUCGGUUUCAAUAUUUUCAAAGUUUCCUAAUGAUAAGAACAACAUAGAAGACAUUUAAGAUAUAUUUUAACCAUGUAAGGCGUGACAUGAAUCCGAUUGAGUAUACAAAAUGCUCAAAAAAGAUUAAUUUGCGUAAGUGUUGGUUUCAAACUAUAACUCUAUCAAUUUUAUAUUAUUAAUUUAAAAUCAAAAAUUUAAUAGUAAUAUGUGUCACAAGAGUGGAGAUAGUGAAACUAAACAAUUCAUUUUUAAAUAUAAUAAAACUCAAUCUUAGUUUUUAUUCACCUAUUUAAUAUCCCCUUGACACAUGUUCGCCCAGCAACAUAUAUGAUGAGUUGUACAAAGAAUAACAAUAAUUUAAAACAACAACAAAUAUUUUCAAAACAUUUCUAGCAGAAUAACUAAACAACAAUCAACAAUCAAAAACAAUAAUGAAAUAACAACAAUCGACAAACAACAACAACAAGAAAAAGAUAAACAUUAAAUCUCAAUUUAAACAAUAACAAUAUUAAACAACAACUCAAAAAUAAAACCACUACUCAACAACAACUACAAUCAACAUCACAACACAUAAACUUAACUGUACUUAUUCCUCAACUAAGAAACGUGAUGUUGGUACAGAGCAUUGGAAGUUUGGACGCAAUUCUUCUUCACCUAUGAAUGGAUAAGUCUUUCAAGCACUAUCAUGACUGUGGAGAACAAUAGAAAUAUGGGGAGUUGCAUUACUCUGAAAAUAACCCAUUGAAGGAUUUUAUAAAAUUAAAGCUCAAGCUAACGACUUUAAAAGUGAGUUGCUCUAAUGAGAGAUAACCACAAGUUUUUAUUUACAUGUUAUGUUUUUGUUUGUUUUGCUAGGAAAAUAAAAGAGAUCACCAAGUUUUGAGAGAAUAUGUGUGCUAAACAAAGCCCACAUAUCAGAAAAUUUCGAAUUUGAAGAGGAUUCACAAAUAAAUGACAAACCCACCAAAAGCCUAUCAAUGCCAUAAUAUUUCUUACCUAAAUACAUUCAGAGUUACUGCUUAUUACCCGUAAAAAGGUGUUGGCGACCGUCAAUAAGGAGUUUCGGUGAUAAAACUCUAAGCGCCCCAAAAACUAUUUAUAUCACACAGAUGGAAUUUACAAACAUGCUCCUAAUAAUCAAUUACUAGCGUAAUUUCUAAACAACACAUUAUUUAAAUUCCCCCCACCUAUUAUGGUGCUAGGUCCCAUCAAUAACCACAAUAACUACCAAUCCUCACAAAUUCUCUCACCAUAAAUUGAGAUUCAUCCACUUUCUAUCCUCCCAUUAUCUUAAUUACCCACUCUCGCAAAACCUAAUAAUCUUCUCCAACCUCUCCAUAUAAACCUCAAUACAUUAAACUACCAUUACAGACCUCAAACUCGCACAUCACCAUUUAAAUAACAUUAAAAUGCCCUAUUCCAUCACCAUUCUUCAACUUACAAAAAAAACCAUGAAAACCUCAAAGAUUCUCUAAAAUCCUAAAACAUUCAAACCUCUCUUUCAUACUAUUUCUCUUAACAACAAAUGGGCCCCAAACUGCUGAAGCAAACUAUAGGCACAAUAGUAAAGAACUGGAAAAGGAGUUGGAAAUAUCCCAAUAGAAGGGGACGAGAAGAAAGGAGGACCUAGGAUCCUCUAAGAAUGGUAUUAAACCCAUACGGGAUAACCUUAAGAACCUUAUAUCAAAACAAACACGAUUCGACCGUUAAGGGUUUGUUGAAAGAAUAAUUCUCAUUAGGUAUAUUUCCAACAAGCCUAACCUUAGAAUCUCUUUGGGUUGUAGCCUGAUGUGAAGUGAUUGUUUGGCCAAAUUGAGCUANUCAAGAUUAGUGGAUUAAGUCCUUGUUGAAGGCGAAAUCACCUUGGCCGGGUGGACUGGAGUAGCUUUGUGUUAUAAGCGAACCAGUAUAAAAUCAUUGUGUGGUUUUCAUUUUUGAAAAAGAGCUUAUUUUCUAAACAAUUCAAACCCCCCAUUUCUUGUUUUUCUCACCUUCACAAGCAUCUUUGAGUCACUCUUAUUUCCAGCCCUAUCUUCCUCACUCGUGGUUUUGAUCCGCUGUCGCGCGCGAAUCAAAACCGAGUUAUUUUGAAAAUGUAGUAUAACGACAAUGACUCAAAUCGUCUCUCAAAGAUUCUUGAUUAUUACUAACCAAAGGUAAAUCGAUUUAGGGGGGGUUGGAUUCAGGAUCGAUUAAGGAAAAAAAGCGAUUAUUAAAUAAGUGAUUAUUGAAAUAAGUUCUUAUGAAAUAGGUGAUUAUAAAACAAGCGGAUUCACUGUGUCAGGUUCAACUUAUCAUCGAUUGCUACAACUACGACUUCUAUCCUAUUUGAACACAAUAUCAUUCAACAAGCGCGAUCGACACUGUAAGGUAUAUAUUCUUAUUGUCGGAUUAAGCAUACAGUUAUAGAUAUCACAAAUUUAACGGUUAAGCAGAGUUGAAUUACGAUCAAAAGUCAAGAACAUAUAUCAUUCAAAUUUAUCCAACAAUAUUACAUGGAAAUCAGAUUGAGCAAACAACAAUCAUAUAAUAUUAUUGAAAGGAAUAGAAUUCUAAUUGCAAUUAUAACAAUCUCAAAGUAGUGAACCUGAAUACAACAAAUCCGUCCGGAAAGAUUAGUUCUCCAUUACGGUUCUUUCAAGCGUAAGAAAAAUAAUUCAUGAAUAGUAAAAAAACGUGAAUAAUGUUUUCGGCUACUAGGUGUUAGGGGAAAACCAAGGCAAUCCGUUUACAACCCAACUGGGUCAAAUACAUAACCCAGGCCCAAAACUAAAAUAAAACUAAUGCUGCAGCUUCAAACGAAAUUCUGGAAAAUAAGCGCUCCAAAUCUGACUUCCACUCCAAAACGAAAGUUGUAUCUCUUUCUCUUAGUUUUCUGGAGAUUAUUAGAACACGUCAAUCGGAUUCCCGGAGCUCUAGUUAUGAUCGUUUUAGUGCAGACUAUUAAAGCUGAAAAUUAAAUACGAAAAUCAAAUAACAAUAAAAAUAAACUAAAAUAUAAAAAUAUUAUAAAACAUAAAAGUAAGCAAAGGAAAUCAAAGAAAUGCUUAAGAACAAACAUAGGAGAAUGUGCAUUAAAAUGCACUGAUCAGUUCCAUCACCACCCACUGAUAAUACAAUGGGUGUAGGUUACUGUGACACACCUGAACUUGGACAUUCACCAAUCAAUUUGGCUGAACAACCUGCACAUGCUUUUGACCAUAUUGGUGUGUCAAGUUCUUCAUCAUAUAGGGAUCAUAAUCCUAUUCUAAGUCCCUUAUUAUCAGCACUAGUUGGUACCAUUAGAGGAAAUGCCUACCAAUUCAACUGAUUUAACUCUUCUUUCAUUCAACAGUCAUUGUCGUACCCCCAAAUUUAACCACUUUUUCUUGCUAUUUUCAGAGACUUUACAAGUCAACCCCAAUGACCUAAAAAGUCAAAGGGGAAACAUUUUGACUUUUCUAGACCCUUGAUCCCUUUUUUUGGUCAGCUAAUACUAAUAGGUUAAUAUUGUCAAAUUUUUUUAGGGUUGGUACCAAGGUUAGUUGGUUACUUAAUUUUUGUCUAGAAUUAGUAAUAUGGUUAAUUAGGUUUUGGUUAAUAUUGGUAAAGUUAAUGAGAUUUUAUUUAUCUAAUAUUAAAAUUCUUUAUUUAAGUUGUUAGGUUAAUUAUUUUUAAAGUUGAUUAAGUAGUUGAUUAAAUUAAUUAAAUUAAAUUAAUUAAAUUAAUUAAAUAAGUGAGAGUUUGAUUAAGUAGUUGAAUUUCUUAUUAUUUGUUUAAUAGUAAGUAGGGAGACGAGUCCAUGCCCAUUUCAUUUGGGUCCAACGAGUGACCCAAGCCCCGGGUCCAUUGGGUCAAGUAAGAUCCAUCCUCGUCAUAUAAACUGGGUCAAAUGCGAUCCGUAUUAAUCCCUAACAUCCCCAUCAGCGUUACUCGAAAAACCUUAAUUCUCACAAUCAGAAAUCAAAAAUGGAUCAAAUGCACUAGAAUCAAAUCUUUCCCUUUUCAUUUCAACAUGAAUACAAAUUUGUGAUUUACAAAUGAUUUCGGACCAUAUACAUUGCAAUCUCAACCCUAAUUCUAUUUCUAAGAAAAAUCAAAAUUAGAAUCAAAUUUGAUUCAAUUAGAUCUCAAUCUAAUAUAAAAUUACCUAAAAUAAAUCAAUCAAAUUAAAAGCAUAAAACCUAAAAUUCAUCUAUAAAUACAAAAAAUUUCAUAUGAAUAUGGGAUGAAAAGAAAUCCCUAACAAAAAAAUAAUAUUGCUUCUGCAAAUUCCUUUCCAUCACCAAAGCUCCGAAUAAGCAAAAAUUAGGGUUUCACAUCGAAACCCAAAUUCUACCAUAGAUCUACCAUCACCCAAAGAUCUCGCACCAGAAGAAAAAAAAGUCAGAGAAAGGAGAAAAGAACAAUAAAAAAGAAAAGAAAAGAAUUAAGGUUUACCUUUUUAUCGGAAUAAGUCUUCGUUCCGUAGGUUGGUUUUCAUCCCUUCAUACCUUAUCUUUGAUUUUUGUUUGCUCUAGAUUGUUAUGAUUGUUUAAUUUUAAUUUUUUGGGGUAACUGAAAGGGAUUAGGGUUAGGGGAAUUCAGGGUUGAUUUUGAAGGAUUUGUUGUUUGAUUGGGGUUUAGGAAAGGCCAAUCUAUGGAUCAACCACAGUUUAAGGUUUGAUUUGGUUGAAGUUUGGUGUUUCUGGAAAAGUUUAAGGUUAAGGUUCUUCAUCCCUAGGGUUGGGGUUCAUAAUAUGAACCCCAGGGUUCAUCUAGUUAGCAUAAAGGGUAGGGUUCUUCACGUUCUAGGGUAAAGGUUCAUCUGCGGGGUUAGGGUUCGUGGAUUUCAGUAGGUUUCUUAGGGUAUGAUGAUUUUUAGGUUGGAAGCUUGAAUGUUCAAAUCUUUUGGUUGAAGUUCAAUCGGAAAAUUGAAGGGUGUGGUUGUUUUGAUGAUGGUUUCUGGAAGAAAAAAAAGGGUGGCUGAAGGUUAAGGAUUCAGUGAAUAUUUUAGAGAGGAGGAAGAGAGAUUGAGAGAGUAGAGAGAGAAAGAAAAAAUAAAAAUGAAAUGGAUCAAAUGAAGUUUAAUUAUAUGCUUCCUCUGUGUUCCCUCAGAUGCAUGCCAAGUGGCAUUCCGAAGAGGUCCAUAUCAUUUGACUAUCCCAGUCAACUAAUGAUCUCACAUACCCAUGUGUACCAUGUUCCCUUAUUGACUUUAGAUAUGAAACCUUCAUCCUGCAUACAUUGAUUGGUAAUCCAGAUCGGAGGCUGCGAUCUGAUCCCAUCAGAUCCGUGUGAUCCAAAUCGAGAGGCUAAGAGAGAGUCAAACUUUAACCAUCUCUCUCCAUGAACCAUUCUUCCCACGUGGGCCUCAGAGAGCCUCUGGGCUUUCUUUCAAUGCUUUUCACACACCCUAAUCAGGAGCCCAUUACUUUUAUAGUCAAGAAUACACCCUCAUUGGAUUUAAUUAAUUAAAACUUUUUUUUUCUAUUUCUAUUCUAUUUUCUAAUUACUUCUCCGCCCCCAAUGCGUGAGAGUUUUUAAGUGAUAAAAACAAUAAACAAACAAAUAUUUUCUACCAGAACUACAGAAAUUUGAUCCUUUAACGAACUUGAGGGUACGUAGGCAUAUAGUUGUAAGACUCUAGAGAGUAUAGUAAUAAAAAACUUCUUAGGUCCUACUUUAUUAAAUUAGGUUUCAAAACAAUUUGUUAAUAGACAAAUAGUUAACCAAUAUUGAUAAUAAAGCUAAUAUCCUUAAGCAAGAAUAACUAACCCUAGAACUUAGAGGAUGAUCCCAUUUAGUAUAACAGAAGUGAGGGGUGCCUAGUACCUUACUCUCACUUAACCGACUCCCAAACCUAGUCUUUCACCCUUAACCAUUAAGUUUUAUCAUUAUUUCCCUAUUUAUUAAGAACAAAUAAAGGAUAAUGGCGACUCUGUAAAUUUUCCAGUCGCGACAGUCAUGAUUCAAGGUAUUCCUAUAUUCACAACUCUUCAAUUCCACAAGUAUAUCAACUCAAUGAGCAUCAUAUAUUGAUUCAAGCUAAAAUAAGUAAUUCAAAACCUAAAAAUUUUCUUACACAAGUUAAGUUUGUCUUCAUUAAACAAGCUUUAGCUCACCCUGACUAGUUAAAUGCUAUGAAUAGUGAAUAUGAAGUGCUUCUUGCCAAUCAAACAUGGUCCCUAACAUCUCUUCUACCUCAUAGAAAGCCCGGGGAAUGUAAGUGGGUGUUCAAACUAAAAGAUAACCCAAAUGGAACUAUUAACAAAUACAAAGCAUGCCUUGUAGCAAAUGGAUUCCAUCAACAAUUUGGCUUUGAUUUCAACGAGACAUUUUCACUUGUGGUUAAGCCAACCACUAUUCGUCUCAUACUUACACUUGCUCUCACGGAUAAUCGAGAACUUCAGCAAGUUGAUGUUAAAAACACAUUUCUUAAUGGCUCAUUGCAAGAAAACAUUUAUGUGACUCAACCACCGAGCUUUGAAAGUUAAGAUUCCUCGCGUGUAUGCAAACCUCACAAGGUGCUUUAUGGGAUCAAGCAAGCCAAUUGUGCAUGGUAUGAGAAUCUUACACAUAAGCUAGUGCACUUUGGCUUCAUACAUAGCAAUUGUGAUAACUCCUUAUUUGUUUACAAACAUCAACACAUCACUCUUUUUGCUCUCAUAUAUGUGGAUGACAUUUUGCUCAUAGGAUCAUUGUAACACCCUAAAACACCAUGACUCUUAUUUAAUUAAGUUCGUGAAAAUCAAACAUUUUUAAACACCAAGGGUGCCACAUAUCUCUUUAACACAAAUAUACUUCUCCAAACUUUUUCAAAAAAUAGGCAGUGAAUAAUAUCAACAUGUUCAACUGAAUAAAUCUAAACAGAUAGUUCAAUACUCAAGCAUGAGACAAAUAAUCCCAUAAAUCUAAAUAAAAAAUGAAACUCGUCUCAGUGUUACAUAUCAGAGCGACACCGCGGAACUAAACGAAACUAAAAAAAUGUAAACAAAGAAGAAGGUAAUAUGCAUCAUUCUCCAACUCAUAGCUAAUGCCCUCUACUUGUAUCUGCAACAUAGGCAUAGCAAGCUACGCAAUAACAUGAAAAGGGUGAGAAUAACUUUAUAGAAGUUAUUAGUGUAUUAGUCAACAAGGAUAACAUACAUAAACAUCUCGCAAUCAUACACAAAUAACAAUAAUAAAUCAUAAUGCAAAUGUACCAGUGCAAUGUACUCCUCAUAAAAAAAUACACGUGGUACCAAAUUUUUGGAUAUUUGAGUUAUUUUACUGAAUUAUCCAUGUUUCUAAUUCCUCUCUAGAAAAUUUCUCUUUGGAGAAUGAGAGUUUCACUGGCUAUCUCUGAGCAAUGGACCAUGUCACUGGCUCUCUCUGAGCACUGAACCUCGUCACUAGCUCUCUUUAAGCACUGGACCUCUUCGGAAUGAAGUCCUACCUAAUUCUAAUAUAAUGCAUGAACAUAUAAUUCAAAUCACAACUCAUAAUCAAUCAACAAAUUACAACUCAUAUCUUGCAAUAAUGUUCUCUUUGAACGAAUUCCUUUUUGGAUAAGGUUCCCUCUGAGCCACAAUUUGCUAAUGCAAGACCAACACGAUAGUUCUCGUUGAACUACACAACUCGAAAAUAAUGUUAUAUAAUUAAAUCUCAAUAAUUAUAUUAAAAAUAACAUAGUAAAAUUGUAUUAUUACUCAGUAACUCAAAACACACAACAACUUAAUUUUCCUUAUCAACUCAUAAAAUUACUCAAAAAUAUAUUGAUAGAGUAAUAGUUAUAUCUCAUACUCGCAACUCAUCAAAAGGGUAAAAUCCUUAUCUUUUACUCAACAAAGUUCUCAAAUUAACUCUAAACAGCUCUACAACAAUCUCUACAAGUUAAAAACAACUCUAAAGUGCUCAAUAGACAACUCUUGCAUGUAAAAAUAACUAUUAUGAACUCUAUUGGUUCGCGACCUGACUCAAGUAAUAAUAAAACAACCCUAAAGUAGAAAAUAUGACUCUCUAACUUUUCAAAAGGGUAACGAAAAGUCACCGGUUUCGAAAUCUCUCAAAACCUCAUCUAUUGGAAAGCAAACCCGGAUGCCAACCCUAUUUUUUUUUACUUUUUCGACUUUUUAUAGAAAAAUGAUUUUAGGAUUUCUCAGGAAAACUUGGGCCAUUUGGGAUUUUGAUUAUCCAUCACUCAAAAGAAACUAUCAAUUAUAUAACACAGAUAGAGCAUAUUCAAAUUAUCAACAAACUAUCUUAUAAAGGCUACUAACAAAUUCAACAAUGAAAAAAAACAUGUUGUAAAUCAUCAUAAAAGGCCUUAUAGAAAUAAAUUUUAUAUAAAUAAAAUGAAUCAUGUUUUUAGACCUACUUGUUUCUAUUUUAAUGCAAAAAGCCAUACUUUUAAAGCUUGCUACAUAAAAAAUUAUGGAAUUCCUUAUGGUGAAUAUGUAUGAGUGAGAAAUGGAUCAACCCAAGAGGACCCAAAUGAUAUUGAGUAUCAAAACACUGUUAAUUGUUUUGUAGAUACUUUAAUAUCAUAUGUUAGUAUUUUCAAAUCAAGAUUGUUCUUUUAAGAUACAAGACCAUAUGAUAUGAUAGUUCCAAAAUUUUCAUUGAAUGAAAGAUAUUUUGAAGAAGCAUCAAUAUUGAUAUCAACUUUGACUUUAUAUGAUAGUAUUAUGAAGAAUAUAGGUCAUUUUGUGCUUAAAUGUAUAAUUUCCCUUAUAUUAUUAUACUCCUUUUCUUUUUGAUAAUAUCAAAAGGGGAGAGAAUAGAGAUGAUUAUUUUUGUUAAUUUUCAUAAUACCAACGACAUCAUAGCAUAAAUUGCAAAAUAAAGGGGGAGAUAUGAAAGAUACACGGGAGAUAUACAAAAUCAAGUGUCAAGCCAAAACUUCUCAUCAUUGAAUUUUUUUCAUCAUAAAAAAGGGUGGAGAUUGUGAAUAAGAUGUUCAUCAUCAUCUUAUCAUUUAUUUUGAUGAAGAAAAAAAGGUUUAUCUGAGAAGAAAGAUAAAAAAGAGAAAAAUAUUGAAAUCAAGUUUUAAAGAUUAGUUAAGCUUUGAUAAUCAGUGGAUUAAAGAUGAAGCAAAGGUAUAAUAAUUUAAAUAAUUUUUUAUAGGCAUUAGGUGCUCAUAACUUCCAUCUCAUACCUUCUAAAGUUUGUCAAAAUAUUGUUACAUGAUUUACUUUUAAAAUGGAUUUCAACUUAGUCAAUUUUCAUGUUUUUUACUAGGGAAAUCAAUUUCUCUUUUGAAGAAAUUUUUUUCAUUCCUCUCUGCCAAACGGAUUUUGAAAUAACCAUGAAGGGAAAUAUAUUCCUCCCCUUUGGUAAAUCAAUUUACCCAGUCUUGAUUAUAAGCGGUAUGUAUCGACCCACAUCCUUAUAUGUGUCAAUACAUUUAAGGCAUAAUAUUUAUUUUUAAAAGUCCUGCAGUAUGUAUCGACCCAUGGGCUUGAUGUGUCGACCCAUAUACUUUUUUUUCAUAAAAAGUCAAUUUCUUCACUAUGUAUCGACCCAUAGACUAUAUGUAUCGACCCGUGGACUUGUUUUUCAUGAAAAAUCAUAAUUUUAAUUUGUAAUGACUUAUCUAACCUGAUUUUAUGUGUCCUAUUAUAAUAAUGCACAUUUAGACACAGACGAUAAGAUCCAAUGUACACAAAAUACUAAGUGUCAUAGUUUUGAAACCAUUCAAAACACAUAUAAGAGGAUGAUGCACUUACAUACUCCCCUAUUUUAAUGAUGGAAAAACUUACGAAGCAUUUGGUGUCUUGAUUAUAGGUCCCCCUGAAUAUGUGCAUCUUAAGAACUUGUACUUAUCACCCUUUGAUAAUAUCAAAAGGUGACAAAGGUACAAGACGUGAGAAGUAUCGUUGAAAAUUCACAACAACAUAUAAAUCACUCAAAGGCAUUACAAAGAUAAAAGAUUCAACUAUAACAUGAACUUACGUAGAAUUGCAUCAAAUUGAAACAAGGCAUAAACAUAAAUACACAACCAAGUCAUACAAAAGAGAUGAAUUUAAUUACAAAUUUGUCAUAAGAAGGUCACAAUAGAACAACAUAAUAAUAAACAUAAAAACAUGAAAAUAGAAAUGCAUGCAAGUAUAUAUGGAGAACAUGAUUUAACACUAAUAACAUAAAAAAUACUUCAAAUUUGAAGAAACAAUAUCAUGAAAUAUAUAUGAUGGUGAAAUCAAACAUGAUAUCACUAUAAGCAUAUAGAUUGAAAAACUCACGGGUAGUCAAUGAAUUUUUUAGAAGUGAACAAACAUGAAAUUUAUCAUACAUCACGCAAUGUUGGAACAUAAACAUGCAAUCAAAUAUAAGAGUCAUAGAUAAGCAAUAAAAGAAAACUUAAGAACAAAGAGAUAAUUUGAGAAGGAUAUUACCUCAUAGGAUGAGAGACAAAGGAUACACUCAUAUGAAAUAAAACUUUCGAAUGAAUGUUAAAACAAAUGUAAAAAGUGCAUGCAACAAAAUAUAUUAAGCAAGAUUUGAGAUAUCGAGAAUGCCCAAUUCCCAUCGAAUAUUGAAAAACAUCUCAGUCGCAAAAGGUUUUGUGAAAAUACCGGCAAGGUGGUUUUUGCUAUCAGCAUGUUCAAAAAUGGCAUCGCCUUUUUCAACAUGGUCGCGAAGGAAAUGGUCACGUAUCUCAAUAUGUUUAGUACGACAAUAUAGCACUGGAUUUUUGGUUAGGUUAAUAGAACUAGUGUCAUACCCUUAAAUUUGCCCUACCCAAUAUCAUCCUCUUAAGCCUUAAACCCUAAGCGUACAUCCCAUACAUAUCAUAUGCAUUUGUGCUUGAUGACCACAAAUAUCCCUAAGCCCAAGGCAUGGGAUUCAUCUACAAAGCCUUAAGAUCCUCUGAUCAUGUUGAGUUGUGCCCAAUCCACCUUAACCCCAAUCUCAUCCUCAAGCAUCCCACAAAUCUUAGAGGACCACUCAAGACAUCUCACUCACUCCCAAAAUCCAAUUUGGGUGGUGAGUCUCCUUUGAAGAAGCUUCAAGAUUCAUCUGGUCAUCCAAGGACCAAACCCUAAGUCUUGACCCUCACUUGGCUUAUACAAGUCUUUAUACACCAUGGAUAUUGACCAUGCCAUUGGGGACUCCUAAAAUCCAAAGUUUGUUCAUACCCUAUACCCUUUAAACAUCUCGAUUUAAUCCUUACAUCUCAAACCCUAAUUCAUUUGGCUUUGGUUUUUGAUGAAACUUGUGGCUUAAGAAACCCUAGCUUAGGGAUCCCUUGAUCAUUGGUAUUGCUCAUUUUGGACCAUCCAAUCACCCUAACAUUAAUUCAAAAUUAUUUUAUGUCCAUUACAAUCAAAACCCACCAUUUAAACAUACAUCUAAUCCAUGUUACAAGUAAUUGGUUUGUUCAUGGUUUUUCAACUUUCCAUGACUUGAUCCAUCCACCAAUUUGACCUAAAAUCAUUCCACAAAGGUCCAAAUCUUAUUUUACAUCAUUAUAUGAUCAUAUGAACUCAAAACAUUUAUCAUUGCGCCUUGGAAAUCAAGAAAUCAUAAAAUCCCCAAAUUAGGUCAUGUUGGUUGGUCACAUUUUGGCAAGAAUGGCAUAUGGGAAGUUCCAAACACCAUAACUUCCUUAUUUUUCAAGAUUUUUAAAUUAAACUUUGAGACAAAUGUCCUAAAUAACUCCCUUUCCAAUUUUGUUUCAAGGUCCAAGACCUAAUUCAGCGAGGGAGGGGUUCAAUUUUGCUAUUGUCCAAGUUGCUCCAACAUGCCCACCAUGCCCUAAAAUCAUAUCAUGACCACUACUUUGACACAUUUCCAUUUUCAAAACCUAAAACCUUUUGACAUUGUUCCUUUUUAAUUCAAUCAAGAUCAUGGAAAGGAAAAAUGGCCCAAAAUUGAGACCAAAUGCAUGGGCCAAGUUUAUUUCGCCUUGGUUCAAACAUGGAGGUUCUUCCUGAUGUGCAAGACAAACCACUUCAGGCAGAUUUUUCAAAUCCAUUCUCCAAGUCCUCAAACCUUUUCAAUCUAAUCCCAAUGGUACCCAAACACAUUGCAUAUGAUAUUAUGGUGUGAUUGAAGGUCAACUUGCAAUCCAAAACCUCACAAAUCAAAAAAUUUGAUCCCAUGUGCAAAUUCUGAUUUUUUCCCAAAAUGGCAGAAAGCAAAUUCUGCAGCAGACCAUCUCAAUGCCUUUGGUUAUUCCAAAUUAAUGCAAGGGACAAAAACCAACUUGUAUUUGGUGCAAACAAGCUCAGACCAUAUCCAUUCCAUGUUCCCCCAAGUCAAUCCCAAGCAUGCUUCGAGCCACAUGUGGUUUCUGAUGAAACCUCCAUAUUCUCCUUCCAAAACCAUCCACACAGCUUCCCUAUAAAUAGGUGAAGGUGUUCCAUCAGAAAAACAAGCUUCAAAGGCCCUAAAACCUCUACUAAACUUUUCACUUCAAGCUUCAAAAACAUAACAUCGUGUUUUGAGUUUCCAAGUGUUUCAUCUUCAAACAACCACCCAGAAACCUUCACCGACCAUCAUACAAACUUUCCAAACACCUAACUUCCCUUCCCCAAACCUCACUUGAAUUAAGCCAUACCAUUGGAAAUCCUCCCUGAGCUGUUUCCGAUCAGGUAGGUUUCUUCACCGCCAUCAUCCAAACAAGUUACCAUCCCCCUCAAAAUGAUCCUCUGAUGAUUUCCCCUAAGUUUCCAGCUUUGAUUACUCGGUGUUUAGCAUUUAAUUUUUAAUCUAUGUCAAGUUCAUCUUUCUGGUUUGUGAGAGAUAACUCUACACUCAGAGCCAAUCAAUGGCUCGUGAGUGUGGAGGAUGAUUUUAUGUUUAUGUAAUAAGAUUCCAUGAAAAAAUCUGAUUGAAAUUGCUUAUUUCCAAGUUUUGAUUUUCAAAAAUCUUGAGGUUGAAGACGACACUGAGGUCGUUGCUUCGUGUGAGAUUCAAAGUCAAACAAAAAUCGUGUCUCACUGUGAUUGAUGGGCUAGUGUGCGAGUUCGUUUUUAAACAUUGUUUUAAUAUUUUAUUGUUUCGAUAUGGUUGGUUGACACCACCAAGCUUGUGGCCUAGUGGGAGAGGGGGUUAAUCCCCCCAUGACCCUAAGGUCAGGGGUUCACUCCCCAGCGUGUGCAAACCCUCAUUUAUUUUUCACUUGUUAUUCUUAUUAUUAUUUUUUUCAUUUUCCUUCCAUUUUGAGUUAUUUUUUAACUCUUUCAUUUUUAUUAUUUUGCAAAUAUGUUGAAUAUAAACUCUCAUUAUUUUUGUCUAUAGAAUUAAUUAGUGACUUGUUUUAUUUCAUUUGAGUUAUUUAUGGUGGACUUAUGGAGUCUUGAACUCAUGGACUAAUGAAAUCUACAUAGGUCAUAAUUUAUUUAGUUUAGGGUUGAUUAAAACCUUCCAUACUUCAAACCUACCAUUGAAUGACAAAGUGUUCAUCCAUGGUACUUUGAAUCAUGAUAUGUUACCCUUACUUCAAAUAACUUGGGUCAUUUGACUUAUGGAUGAAGUCUUACUUGUGCACUUAUUAACUUGUGAUUUCAUCUAAUACAUUAUCAUUUCACUUGGUUUAUACUGACCCACUGAUACAUUAAUAACAUUAUAUUCAUUUGUUUAUACCAUAUGCUAACCCUUAUUAUCUGGUUAAUAAUAUGCAUUGUCCAUAACUUAACCUAACUUCACUAACUUUUGAUUAUUAAUAACCCUUUGUUAUUAUUAUCAUUGUUAUUAUCCAUUGUUAUUUACUUUUAUGUCAUUUACAUUUAAGUACCCAUCAUCAUCAUAUUCAUUGUGUAAACUUCAUCAUGCACACUUUAUCAUUUGUCUUUACUUUAUUGUUAUCAUACACUUAAAAACAACAAAAACAUGAUAAAAUUAUAAGACCAAAAACAAUCCAUUUACUUAAUCCACUUGGACUUAGAGGAUCCCAUACUAGGACCUUUGCUUGGAGGCCUUUCCUAUUACUCUUUUGUGAUACUUUGUUACAAACUUUGGGUUUCAUAUGUACUUACAUUCCGGUUGUAAGAAUGACAUCAUGACACCACCUUAGGGGGAUAUGUUUAUAAUACCAUUAUCCUUUGUUUAACUUAGGUCAUUUUUGCACACACAAGGCUUUCUCUUGGGCUACCUCACAACGAGACCCUUUAUUUUCUUGUUGGUUACCUUGCAUUCGUGUUGUAUAAGCCAAAUUUCUCAAUCAAAUAAACAAACCCUUGAUUCAACGUCAAGUGGAUUUUUCUUAAUCAAAUUCAAAACACUUAAUAACCACAAUUAGUAUCAUGCGCCACAAGCCUUAAAUGGUUAAGAAUGAGUGAGAAUGGAGCAUUCAUGCCCUCACUUUGAUUAUUUCGGACGCGAGAUGCUUGGCCUGUUGUCUAGAAUAUUCACCUUUACCCCUAGACUUUAGUGCAAUCUAAUCACAAACUAUUUUCAUAAACCCUUGUUUAAGGUAAAAUCAACACAGCCCAUCAAAACUAAUUUUUGUGCCUUAGGGCACCCACCCCGAAAACUCUUUUCUCAAAGGUAAAAUCAAUCAAACACACAAAUAUUUUCUACUCCGAACUACGAAGCUCUGAUUCCUCAUCCUUGAUGAGUGAUACGUAGGAACAAGGGCCACAAUCCUUGGCGAGCACCACAAUAAUAAAAAAUCAAAACCCCUAUCUUUCACACACAUAUUCUUUUGAAACUAAAACAAUAAUGAGAUAAAUCCCCAUGAACAUAAACAACCCAAAUGGUUCCCAGUGAAGACCAUGGACGUGAGGGGUGCUAAUACCUUCCCUUUGCGUAAUUGACUCCCGAACUCAAAUCUCGGUUGCGAGAUUGAUUCCUUAUCCUUUUCUAGCGCUUCCCGUGCGCUUAUCUUUCUCGAUGGUUUUAUCGACUAUUUCCCCUUGCCUCUUAGAUAGAGGCACACAAAUAAAAUUUGAUGGCAACUAUUCUAUUUUGCCUUCUCUCUUUGAUUGAGGAGGCAUUCAUUAGUUCAAAGUCCCGGUUUUCAUAAUCGCGUUUAACCCCGGUAGUGACAACUAGUAUUAUCACGAAUUAUCAAAAUACAUUGAAGUUUAGUAUUGAAGUCAAGUAAUUGUUGUUUGAGCCAUAACAUUUGAGCACAAUAACUCCGGCUACGAUGUAUUCCGCCUUGGCAGUUGACAAAGAAACAUAGACUUGUUUCUUGUUAUGCCAACUAACUAAGGAGUUUAAAAAUAUGUUGCAAGUUCCACUAGUAAUUUUCUUAUUCGAUUUACAACUAGAAAAAUCAGAAUCAGAGUAACCAACAAAACUACAAUUGCUACCUCUGGAAAAUCAAAACCCAUACUUGGAUGUACCAUGAAGAUAUCUAAGGAUGCGCUUUACAAUUUUUAAAUGUGAUUCCUUAUGAGCGGAUUAAUAUCGAGAUCACAUGCAUACACUAAAUAUAAUGUCAUGCCUAGAUACAGUAAGAUAUAAGAGUGAUCUAAUCAUACCUCUAUACCUUUUAAUGUCAACAUCCUUACCAUUUUCAUCUCUAUCCAAGUUUUUGUUUGUGGGCAUUGGAGUGUUAAUUGACUUUACAUCUACCAUUCCGAAGCGUUUAAGAAACUCUUGGAAAUAAUUUGUUUGACAAACAAAUGUCCUUUCUUUGAGCUUCUAGAUUUGAAGUCCAAGAAAGUAAUUCAAUUCUCCCAUUAGACUCAUCUCAAAUUCACCCUACAUAAGCCUAGAAAACUCUUUGACCAAUUGCAUGAUAGUAGAACCAAAUAUGAUGUCAUCAACAUAAAUUUGAACUAGAAGAGAAUGUUUUCCUUGACAUUUAAUGAAAAGUGUUGUAUCUACAUUCCCUCUAGAGUGUCCUUGAUCAAGUAAGAACUUACUAAGUCGCUCAUACCAAGCCGUAGGGGCUUGUUUGAGACCAUACAAAGCUCGUUUUAGUUAAAAACAUGAUUAGGAUACUCAUGAUUUUCAAAACUGGGAGGUUGUGAAACAUACACUUCCUCAUUUACAUAACCAUUAAGGAAAGCACUUUUCACGUCCAUUUGAAAUCUUUGGAGCAUGCAUAAGCUAGUAAAAGUCAUAUAACCUUAAGGCAGGCAACCAUAUCAUAUGUUUCCUCAUAAUUUAUGCACUCCUCUUGGUUAUAUUCUUAAGUCAUUAGUCGGUCCUUAUUCCUAGUUAUCGCCCAAUUUUCAUCUAGUUUAUUUCCAAAAACCACUUAGUACCAAUGAUUUGAUGAUCUCACGGAAGUGGGACAAGGUCCCACACAUAAUUUCUUUUAGGCUUAAUUGCAAUUUUGGACUCCCUAUUUUAUAUUUUUUGGACUUUGGUCCCUCCAUUUUAAAAAUCAUGAUUUUGGUCCCUUGUUUAAGUUUUAUGUUGGAUUUUUGGUCCCUAUUUGGGGACUAAAAUCCAACCUAAAAACUUAAAAGAUGGACCAAAACCGUGGUUUUUAAAAUGGGGGAUCAAAAUAAAAAAACUAAAAUCGGGGGACCAAAGUUGAAAUUAAGCCUUUCUUUUAAAUUGAUUUAGCUCAUCUUGCACGACUAUUAGCCAAUAUUCAUCAAUUAAGGCAUCGCUUACGUUGUUAGGUUACACUUGUGAAACGAAUGCAAAGUGAAAACAAAAAUUACAUUUUUAAAGUGUGUUGUCAUGCCUUUGGUGAUGUCUCCAAAAAUAUUGUCGAUUGGAUGGUCUUUGGAAUACCUCCAAGCCAAAGGAAAAUCAUCCAUUUUAGUUGGACUCUCACCCAUAUCCUUUUUAGGAUUGACAUCUUCCUCCUCCUCAAGUUUUACCACUUCAGGUUGAUCAAUUCUUUUUUUUUUGUCUGUGAGUGUGUCUUAUGAAGACACACAUGCAUCAUGAAAAGAAAUACCUUUCCUGGCAUUUCUCAUAUAAGAUUUAACAAAAGUAACAUGAACAUACUCCUCAACAGUAAGUAAUCUCUUAUUGUACAUGAUCCAAAAAAUAACAAGUGCAUUAUUUUGCCUUUGUAGUAAUAAUGAAGAAAGUUCCCCGAAUAUCAAUCUCAAGGACUGGUUGUAAAUAUUAAGUUCUAAUUGUUGUUCAAUUAAACAAAAACUAAUGUUGGGGUUUUUUGAUGCAAAUAUAUAAAAAUAAUUUCAAAUAACAUAAAUAGUGCUGAGAAUGAGUUUGAAAGAU